rnacentral:lncRNA from 1 species
AAGAUACGCUGCAUACUCGGUUGGGUAGCGCCCACGAGUGCCACUCCGGAGACGGGCUUUGUGCUUUCGCGUUGGUGUCGCUCAUGCCGGUUGGACUUGCUCUCCACGGACCAGUUAGUGUGGAGGUAGCUGGAUAGUCGCAACUGGGCAGGGACGGGUGUAUUCACAGUCCCAGGGACGGAUAGGUUUACAGUCCCGAUUGGAUUGGGUCAGAUUUGACAUUACCUACAGUUGGUUAGUGUAGAGCAUGAUAGUGUAGUGAUUCAUAGCAGUAGAUUUUAUUCCUGUAUUUACUACUAUUUUUGCUCACUUCUGUAGACUUAGUGGGUGGACCGAUGUUGUUGAGGGCGGCACCUACUGAGGACUACCUGUUUUUACAGUAGUUCUCACGCCCUGUUAUUAUCCCCUGUUUUUGCAGAGCCAUCGUCGUCGGCUGCUGCUGUCGCAGAUCAGGAUCGAAGCAAGGGCGUCACGAGUUAGAGCCCUACCAAACGUGCCGAGCUAAAGGUGCCCCUACUGCAGGUAGAUGUUUUGUUUUGAGUUCAUGUACAUAGUAUACUUAACUCGCCAGUGCGAGUAGCUCUAUAAUUUUGGUUAUUGGACUAUGUAUAUGGAACUCCGUUUGUUUAGCUUCUGUUUACUCUAGCAGCUCUAUACUACUGUUUGUAGUAUUGUAUGUUUUACAGGUACAGCUGUCGCUUCGUAUACAGGGGAAAUUCCUUUGAAUACGGCGGAUUUGUCGGCGUACCCGGGGAACGUGUAAUUCGGGGCGUGACAGAUGAAGUUGGUAUCAGAGUUUUGUUAUAGGUCAUUGGGACCUAGAAACCCUAAGUUGGCAAACCUUAGGAAAGCAAGACGCGAGAGGCGUAAUUUAUUGCGAAAGUCAAUAAUUAGUUGUUUUAACUCUUCCUAGAGUGGAGUGAGUGAUUGAAGGAGUACCUAUUUUGGUCUGAGAAAUUAUGUUGGCUGCAGACGACAUAGUUUUGGAAGGAAACAGGGACCGCCUUCCAGACUUUCGUUGAUUGGGUCAAGAGUGUUUGUGUUUCAACUGACCCCGAUCUGUUCCUUUCAGCUAUGUAUCGUCGCCGAGGUCGACCGUCGUUGCGGGAGCGUGCCUAGUUGGCGCGGGAUCAUGCAGGACCUUCUGAGAGACCUGAGCAAAUGGAGCAGGGUACUCGGCAGAGCAGGGUGACAGACCGGAGGCGAGUGCACCCCCUGUUGUGGAGCCGAGUGCGCGACCUGAGGCUAACGCACCUCCUGAUCUGAGUGCACAGUUAGCUGCCCUGACUGAGGUGACGAGGCAGCAGGGAGAGUUGUUGCAGAGGUUGUGUGAGAGGGUGGUUCAGACACCGAGUGCUGCACCGAGAGUACCAGAGCAGACUUUUUCGCCACCGACUACUCCAGCGUCAGCACCAGCCGCAGCUAUGCCCCUACCAGCGGAGCUUCCUGCAGCGCCAGUUGAGCCUGCUAGGGGGCCCAUACAGUUGACAGAAGCCGAGCAGGAACGCUGGACGGAGAGGUUGGCUCGUUUUCGCCGUUUUGAUCCACCAAUUUACGAUGGCAGAUGCACUGAGGCCUGGGUUGUUGAGGGAUGGGUCAGUGCGAUGGAGAAGCUAUUUGAGGAUCUGUUCAUUCCAGGGGGAGCAAGUACCUCUGGGAGUACACUGUUUAGCAGGUAUGCUCAUGACUAGUGGCGGAGAGCGAGGCGAGACCAGGGGCUGGUGGCGGCGCAGCUGAGUUGGGAUGAGUUCUGUGGAAUGCUGUUUGGGAUGUUUUUUCCCAACAGUGUGAAGCAGAAGCUCGAGGAGGAAUUGAGGAGACUUCAGCAGGAGAAUCGCCCAGUGCAGGAGUACAUUCGGGAGUUUACUCGACUCCUGAACUGUGUACCAUUUGUCGCCAGAGACGAGGCGCACAGGGUGUACAUGUUCGAGCAGGGGCUGAGACCGGACAUCUUCAGGUUAGCGCGGGCGUAGAGGUCGAGGACCCUGGAUGCGUCCAUAGAGCAGGCCCUAUGGGUGGAGAGAGGUGAGGUGUCGCUGCAAGAGAGGACUCAGGCCGUGGGGCAGGGUCAGGACAGGAAGCGCCCCUUUCCAGAUGACGGAGGGCAGUCGAGCAGCAGACGUCCGCCGAGGCCUCCACGAUCACGCUCUCUGGGUCGUGGGUCUUCAGGGCGUCAGCGUUCCAGGGGAUCCCGUCAGCAGGGGCAGACUUAGAGGACGCCACAGUAUGUGAUUUGCGUGGGACCACACUGGCCCCGGCAGUGCGAGCAGAGAGAGGGCAGGUGCUACGGAUGUGGUCAGCCGGGACACAUGAGGGCAGCUUGUCCCCGAGCAGCAUCUCCAGCACCGUCAUCAGCUUCGGCACCACCAGCACCACAGCAGUCUUACGGAGCAGCACCGAGCUACCGCCAGGAGGACAGAUCGUCUGUGCCGCGGUCGAGUGAGCGGCGACAGCAGGCUCCGAGUGGCAGGGUCUAUGCAGCUCAGGUGGAGGACUCUUCAGCAGCCGACCGAGUGGUGGCAGGUAUCACUUUGAUUUCUGGCAUUAGAGUUCGCACUCUUUUUGAUACCGGUGCAUCGCAUUCCUUUGUUAGCCGAGCAUUUGCAUUGUUGCAUGGUCUAGAGUUAGGAGCGUUGUCUCAGGCACGAGAGGUGCAGAUCCCCGACCAUGUCUUGCAGGUUACAGAGUGUUGUUGGUCCUGUCCGGUGCAGUUAGACUCUUGGAUCAUGCCCGCAGACCUGUUGGUGUUAGGGCAGCUGCAGGACUUCGACGUAGUGCUCGGUAUGGAUUGGCUGGCGCGGUACUAUGCUACGAUCGACUGUGGAGCGAGGACGGUGACGUUCCGCGAGCCAGGCCAGGAGGAGUUUACUUUCAGAGGCUGCAGGAGCACGCUGUUUGCCACCUGGAUAUCUUCGGCGAGGGCUCGACAGAUGCUGAGCAGUGGGUGUAUCGCUUUCCUAGCGACAGUUGUGGAGGUACCUACGGCGGCGCCGAGACUCGAGGACAUCCCAGUAGUCCGCGAGUUUCCGGAUGUGUUUCCCCCUGAGUUGACGACGUUGCCGCCGGAGAGGGAGAUUGAGUUUGUGAUUGAUGUAGUUCCUGGAACUGCACCAAUCUCAAAGGUACCUUACAGGAUGGCACCGGCAGAGCUGAGAGAGCUAAAGGCGCAACUUCAGGAUCUGAUGGAUAGAGGGUUUGUGAGACCCAGUGUGUCGCCUUGGGGAGCGCCGGUGUUAUUUGUAAAGAAGAAGGAUGGUUCGCUCAGGUUAUGUGUGGAUUACCGGGAGCUGAAUAAAGUGACCAUCAAGAACAAGUAUCCUCUGCCGCGCAUUGAUGAUCUAUUCGAUCAGCUGCAAGGAUCUUGUGUCUUUUCGAAGAUUGAUCUCCAGUCAGGUUACCACCAGCUGAGGGUGAGGGCCGAGGAUGUUCCCAAGACGGCUUUUCGGACUCGGUACGGGCAUUAUGAGUUCACGGUGAUGCCUUUUGGAUUGACGAAUGCCCCUGCCGCAUUCAUGGAUUUGAUAAACAGAGUGUUCAAGCCGUUCUUGGACAGGUUUGUGGUAGUCUUCAUCGACGAUAUCCUGAUUUACUCCCGGAGUGAUGCUGAGCAUGAAGAGCAUUUGAGGAUUGUGCUGCAGCUUCUACGAGAGAAGCUGUAUGCCAAGUUGAAGAAGUGCGAGUUCUGGCUUCGGGAGGUUGCUUUCUUGGGCCACGUGAUUUCAGCUGAGGGCGUAGCAGUGGACCCGAAGAAGAUUGAGGCGAUUCGAGAUUGGCCUAGACCGACAACGGUGACUGAGGUACGGAGCUUUCUGGGACUGGCAGGAUAUUACUGUCGGUUUGUGGAAGGCUUUGCGAAGCUUUCCACACCCCUUACCAGGUUGACUCGGAAGGGGAUUCGGUUUGUUUGGAGUGAGGACUGCCAAAGAAGUUUCGACGAGUUGAGACAGAAACUGAUGCAGCUCCUAUUCUUGCCCUUCCUGUGAUGGGGGAAGAAUUUGUGAUCUAUAGUGAUGCAUCGCACAACGGACUGGGUUAUGUGUUGAUGCAGCAUGGUAGGGUGAUUACUUAUACUUCACGGCAGUUAAAGGAUUAUGAGAAGAAUUACCCUACGCAUGACUUGGAACUUGCCGCGAUGGUUUUUGCUUUGAAGCUUUGGCGGCAUUACUUGUACGGCCAGCACUGCGAGGUCUUUACCGAUCAUAAAAGUCUCAAGUAUCUGUUCAUACAGAGGGAGCUGAACCUGAGGCAGCGUCAGUGGUUGGAGUUACUGAAGGACUAUGACAUUAGUAUUCAGUAUCAUCCCGGCAGGGCGAAUGUUGUGGCAGAUGCGUUGAGCAGGAAGUCAGUGCAGAGCCUGAAUUUGAGGAUCACUGAGCAGAGACACCUACUCGAGGAGCUACAGCGGCUGGGACUCGAGGUAGUACCCCCUGGGAAUACGGCGAGGCUGAUAUCUCUGGUUUUGCAGCCCACUCUGUUGGAUAGGAUCCGGGAGAAACAGAGUGGAGAUCCGUACCUGUUGGGGAUUCGAGAGCAGUCAGACAGGGGGCAGGCUGAGGGUUUUGCUGUGGACAGUUUGGAAGUACUACGGUACAGGGACCGGCGGUGUGUGCCUGUAGAUUCGGAGAUCCGAGAGGCUAUUUUGAGAGAGGCUCAUUGUUCACCCUAUACGGUUCACCCUGGGGGAAUCAAGAUGUAUAAGGAUUUAAAGGCACAGUUUUGGUGGAAUGGAAUGAAGAGAGACAUUGGCAGAUUUGUGGCUCAGUGUUUGACUUGCCAACAGGUGAAGGCCGAGCAUUUGGUGCCUGCUGGCAAGCUUCAGAGUCUGCCAGUGCCCGAGUGAAAGUGGGAGCAGAUUACGAUGGAUUUCGUCGUGGGAUUAUGUCACGCCCCAGAAAUCUCGUUCCCCGGGCACGCCGACAAAUCCGCCGUAUACAAAGGAAUUUUUCCUGUAUACGAAGCGUCAAAGUACCAGUAGAAAUACGAUACUACAAACAGUAGCAUAGAGCUGCUCAAAAAACUAAAUAACUGAGUUUCAUAUACAUAGCUAGAAUCCAAAAUAUAAGGCUACUCGCACUGGCGAGUUAAACAACUAUGUACAAAAACUCCAAAACAACAACUACCUGCAGUAGGGGAAAGCCUCUAGCUCUGACUGUCGGGUAGGGCUCUAGCUCGCAACGCCCUUGCCUCGAUCCUGGUCGGCGGUAGAUGCAGCAGCCGACACCUGUGGCUCUGCAAAACACAAGUAACAACUGGGCGUGAGAACUACUGUAAAAACAAGUAGUCCUCAGUGGGUACCGCCCAAAACAACAUCGGUCACCCACUAAGUCUACAGAAGGGAGCAAGGAUAGAAGGAAAGCAGGAAGCAUACUCUACCGCUAUCAUCCACUACACUAUCAUGCUCUACACUAACCAACUGUAGGAAAUGUCAAAUCUGACCCAAUCCAAUCGGGACUGUAAGCAUACCCGUCCCCGGGACUGUGAAUACACCCGUCCCUGCCCCGCUGCGACUAUCGGCUCUAUCCACACUAACUGGUCCGUGGAGAGCAAGUCCAACUGGCAUGAGCGACACCAACGCAAAAGCACAAGCCUGACUCCGGAGUGGCACUCGUGGGCGCUACCCAACCGAGUAUGCAGCGUAUCUCUGUCGAGCUCAAUCAGGCUCCAACUAGCCAAAGUCAAGUAAUCGACUCAAACUGGUCUAACAACCAACAGGUAACGUGCCCUCGGCACAAUCUAACGCCAAAAAGGCGAUACGGGUCCACCGUCAACUUUGACGGCACCCAACAGUCCGAAACAACCUGAACGACCCUGUAAAAAUCCACUCGACGAAACAGCACGAGUGUAAAUACAUUCUAAACUACCUGGAGUACUCGUCUCGAAGAAACUGCGACAGUACAAUUUUCUAACGGCUCCUAGAGCUAACUCAGGUAGUUAAAACUGGUGACAGGUCCAAAUCGCAGGUUUCUCCUAAGUCAAAUCCAAGUCCAACAAGUAUCAAUUAUCCUCACUCACUAAGCAUGCUCCCAAUUCAGGUUUUUAAUAUACUAAUCCAUGAAUUUGAGCUACCUCAUUUAGUGUUCAACGAACAAAGCAUAUAAGUCGACUAAUAUGUACUUAGAGGCAAAAACCGAUGAACCCACCUCUCAAGCAACUCCUGGCAGCGAAGAAAGUGGCUUGGAUCCAAAAUGAUCCCUUGCUGGUCCGUCGAAGUCCCCGGUUCUCCUGCUGCGAAGAAGUAAACCCAAUUACACUCAAAAUCACGAAAUCUGCCCAGAAAACAGCAGCGAAGAAAGCGUUAAAUCCGACCAAGCUAACCUUAUCCAAAUUCAGCAAACAAGGGUUCUGAAGCUUCGUCUCAAAGUCACGAAUCCAAUGGUCCAGGUUUCGCUGAAUUCCGACGCUCCUACGCAGAGAACGGGCCAGAAUACGAAACGUCGACGCUGGAACCUGCGAACAGCAUCUCUGAAAUCUGCUCGGCAAACAGCAGCCUAGUAAAACUAGGGUUCGACAGGGCAAACCUGCUCCAAAAAUCGCAAUCUUGGGAUCAGAAUCUUCGUCUCGAAGUCGCGAAUCUAGCACGCCAAAUUUCGUCGCGUUUCGACAUUCCUACACAGAGAACUAGGUAAAACACGGCGGGUCAAUGCUGGAAUCAGCAAUCAGCACUUCAGAGUCUGCUCGGCAAACAGCAACUCAGUAAAGAGGGAUUUCGACAGAGCAAACCUUCUCCAAAUCGGGCGCGUAAGGAUCCUAUGGAUUCGUCUCGAAGUCUCGGUUCCAACGAAUCAAGUCGCGUCACGUUCCGAUGCUCCUACGCGGAAAACGAGCCGAAACACCGACGAUCGACACUGAAAUUCUGCGAAAACAGCACAAUGCUCGGAUUCAAUGGAGCUUGAAGUAGAGAAGAAAUCCAUGGAGGAAAGAGAGCUACCCACCUCUAACAGCGACUCCAAUUCCGGCACGGCGUCGAGAACGACGGAAACACUUCCUCGCCCGGCCUCCUCGUGAAACUACGGCGAUGCUCGUAUGCUCGGACGGCUCCGCGGCGUGACGUCGACGACGGAAAGCUCCACACGAGCUCCUCCUUGCUCCCAACCGGCUAGAGAGAGAGAGAGACAAUGAAAGUUAAUUAAGGAGGUGGUGGUGGUGGCAUCCUCGGUUAAAUCAGCAUGCAUGGGGAGAGGGAGGCACGUGGCAUAUAUAUAUAUAUAUAUAUAUUAGGAUACUACAUUCUCCUCCACUACAAAAAGUUUCGUCCUCGAAACUGAAAUGUACCUCUGCUCAGGCUUCGAACAAGUAGGGAUAAGUCUCCCUCAUCACCGUCUCAGGCUCCCAAGUCGCCUCCCGCUCAUCAUGAUUACUCCACUGCACUUUCACAUACGGGAUGACCCGGUUGCGCAAUUCUUUCGUCUCCCGAGUAAGAAUCCGCAACGGUCGCUCCUUGUAUCUCAGAUCCUCGCCAAUCUCAAGUAGAGUAAAGUCAAUCACAUGAGAGGGAUCGAAAACGUAUCUCCUCAAUGCUGAGACGUGGAAAACAUCGUGGAUGCCAGCAAGUCGCGGGGGUAGAGCUAUCCUGUAUGCAACCGGUCCGAUACGCUCCAAUACCUCGAAAGGGCCAACAAACCGUGGACUAAGCUUUCCACGUACUCCAAAUCNNNNNNNNNNNNNNNNNNNNNNNNNNNNNNNNNNNNNNNNNNNNNNNNNNNNNNNNNNNNNNNNNNNNNNNNNNNNNNNNNNNNNNNNNNNNNNNNNNNNUUUUUUUUCUGCUUUCUAUCUGUCGUUAUAUACGUUCGGUAUUGUACGUAUUUCCUUAAUUGUUAUAAUAUUAUUAAGUUAGAUUGGAUUCAAGCUUUACAAUCGAAGUCGAAGACCAAUCCACAGCCGCUUGCCACUGUGGAUUGCCUUGUACGAUUAGACCCUCUGUGGACACAAAUAAUCCGGCGUCGCCGAGAUUUUUGAUGGCGGACCCAUGUUACAAGAUAUAGGGUAAAGUGGCCUCUAUAAACUUGUUGUUCAUAUAUUGACAAUUAUUUGAUGUGUAAUUUAUAUUAUCUUUCAAUGCAGGGGCUAAGUAACGACUGUAAUUAUUUUGGUGGUACGACCCACACAUUUUACGAGCCGCGAGCUAUCUCAUGUGGUUAAUGGUUAUAUAGAAAGCAAUAAUAAGUUGCGCGGAAGAAAGCGCAGUUUGCACCAAAAAGAAAAAGAUGAAAUGGGCUGCUUUUUCAUUGUAUGGGAUAGUCAGUGGAUAAUGUGGUCAUCCUGCUAUAAAUGUGUGGCAAAGGGUGUACAUUGACUACCCUGUUAUCAUACAAGCUGUAAUAUUUUAUAUUAGUGUGUUAUGUUAGUCGUUGUGUUGUUACAAAAUAUACUAUUGUAGUAUUUUGUUUGGUAGACUUUAUAUUAUUAUCAUUGUGGUCCUGAUGCCAUAUGUUUUGUCUUAAAUUCUACAUUUUAUUUAAUAUUGUAUUACAACUUAUGACGUAAAGAAACUUUUACUCUAAUUUAUCCAGUUCUAUAGUAAUUGAUUAUAGUUCCAAUUAGGAACUUUAUACCACUCUGCGCGAACAUUUGCUGCGCUUAAAGAGCAGUACAUAGACCUUUUACACUCUAUAAUAAUAUUUUCUGUGGUGGGGCCUUAUUUUUUCAGUUGUAGUCUUAAAAUUGAACAGUUAUACCACCCCACGAAACAAUUCUAUGAGGGCUAAAGGGAGCAUACUCAAAUACUGCCACAUCUAUAUGCCAUUUCUAUAUCGUACCCUUUACUGGUGCUGCUUAUAGUUUUAAAAUGAAAAGUUAUACCACUCCUCGGGAACAUCUGUUAUGUUUACAGAGUUACACCAUAUAGCUGUCAUUUCUAUCUAUCUACUCUUGGUCGCCUUGGGUGUGCGUUCUACCUUAAAAUGGAAAGUUAUACCAAUUCCCGAACAUCUGUAUGGUGCUAAAGACGUACACCCAUAUAUCUGUCACUUCUAUCUAGUCUACUGUUGGUCGCUUGGGGUUGGCAGUUCUAGUUAAAUGGAAUAGUUAUACUACACCCCGGAACAUUGUAGGCUUAAAGAGCACACACCAAAUACCUGCACAUUUAUAUGUCCACUUCUAUAUGCCAUGUCACUUUUUUUUGUGCUGUCAUAGCUUAAAAAGAUAGAACGUUAUACCACUCCUCGGACAUCUGUAGUAUUUAAAGAGUACACCUAUAUACCUCCAUUUUAUCUAUUAUACUUCUAUAUGGUAGUCUUGGAUUUUCGCGUUACAGCUUAAAAUUGAACAAGUUAUACCACACCCCGAAAAUCUGUUAGGGCUAAAAAGCACACUCAAAUACCUCCCACAUCUAUAUGUUCAUUUCUAUAUGGUACCCUUUAGUGUUACUGUUUAUAGCCUAAAAUAGAACAGUUAUACCACUCUCGGACAUUCUGUAGUGUUAAGGUACACCCAUAUACCUGCCACUUCAUCUAUCUGACUUCUAUAUGGUAAGCUUGGGUUUUUGCUUAAGCUUAAAAUGGACAUUAUACCACACCCCGAAUAUUCUGUAUUAGGUGAUAAAAAGCACAUCAAAUACUCCACAUCUAUAUGUCCAUUCUAUUUGGACCUUUGUUGUGCUGUUUAUAGCUUUAAUAUAGACAGUUAUACCACUUUCGGAACAUCUGUAGUGUUUAAAGAGUUACACCUCAUGUAUACCUGUCAUUUUAUCUAUCUACUUCUUAUAUGGUAGCUUGAGUUGUGCCGGUUAUAGCUAAAAUGGAACAGUUUAUACCACAGCCGGAACAUCUGGUAGGGCUAAAAGUACACCCAUUAUACCGUGGCCACUUCUAUCUAUCAACUUCUAUAUGGUAGCUUUGGGUUUAUGCGGUCUAAGCUUAAAAUGGAACAGUUAUACCACACCCCGAACAUCUUAGGCUAAAAAGCACACUCACAAUUACCUCACCAAUCUAUAUGUCAUUUCUAUAUGGUACCUUGCUGUGUGUUAUAGCUUUUAAAAUAGAUAUUUAUACCACUCCUCGGAACAUCUGUAGUGUUAAGAGUACACCCAUAUAUCUGCCAUUUUAUCUAUCAUCUUCUAUACGGUAGCCUUGGAGUUGAUGCAGUUACAGCUUAAAAUGGAACAUUAUUACCACACCCCGAAGAAUCGUAGGGCUAAAAAGCACAGCUCAAAUUACCUCCAUAUCUAUAUGUCCACUUCUAUAUGGUACCCGUUUAUGUGGUGCUGUUAUAGCUUAAAUUAGAACAGCUUUAUACCACGUCCUCGGAGACCUCUGUAGUGUAAAAGACACCCAGUAGUAGCUGCCACUUUUUAUCUAUCUACUUCUAUUAUGGUAGCCUUGGUUUUAGGUAUACAGCUUAAAAUGUGAAAAGUUAUACCACACCCGAAAACAUCUUGUAGGGCUAAAAGCCACACUCAAAUACCUCCCAAUCUAUAGUCCACUUCUAUAUGGAUACCCUUAGUUGUGCUGCUAUAUAGACUUAAAAUAAGCACAUUAUACACUCUGGAACAUCAGUGUUAAAAGUACACCAUUUAACCUGCACUUUAUUCUAUCUAUCUUCUAUAUGGUAGCUUGCGUUUUACGGUUACCAGCUUAAAUGGAACAUCUUAUACCAACCCGAAAAUCUGUGGCCUAAAAAGCACCACUCAAAUACCUCCCACAUCUAUAUGUCCACUUCUAUAUGGUACCCUUUAGUUGUGCUGUUAUAGCUUAAAUUAGAACAGUUAUACAUUCUCGGGAACAUCUUUUAGUGUUAAAGUAACCUAUAUACCUGUCACUUUAUCUUAUUACUUUAUAUGCGUAGCUUGGGUUUGUGCGGUUUAUAGCUAAACAUGGAACAGCUUAUACCACAGCCCGGAACAUCUGUUAGGGCUAAAGAGAUACUCCCAUAUACCUUUCCACUUCUAUCUAUCAACUUCUUAUGGUAGCUUGGGUUUUGCGGUUAAGCUUAAAUGAAACAGUUAUACCACACCUCGAAACAUCUUAGGGCUAAAAAGCCACAUCAAACUAACUCCCACAUCUAUAUGUCCACUUCCUAUAUGGUACCCUUUAGUUGUGCUUGUUAUAGCUUAAAAAUAGAACAUCUAUACACUUCUCGGAAAUCUGUUAGUGUUAAGGAGUACACCAGUAUACCUGUCACUUUUUAUCUAUCUACUUUACUAUGGUUAGCCUUGGUUGUGCGGUAAUACUAGCUUAAUGGAAACAGUUAUACCACACGCCCGGAACAUCUGUUCAGGGUAAGAGAUACACCCAUUAUACCUUCCACUUUAUCUAUCAACUUCUAUAUGGUAGCUGGGUUUUGCGGUUACAGCUUAAAUAUGGAACAGUCUAUACCACACCCCGAGAAACAUCUAUUUAGGGCUAAAAAGCACACUCAAAUACCUCCCACAUCUAUUAUGUCCAUUUCUAUAUGGGUACCCUUGAUUGUGCUGUUACUAAGCUUAAAAAUAGAAUAUUAUCCAAUCCGGAACAUCUGCUAGUGUUUAAAGAAUGUAACACCAUAUACCUGCCACUUUUAAUCUAUCUACUUCUAUAUGUGUAAGCCUUGGGUUGUGCGGUUACAGCUUAAAAUGGAAACAGUUAUACCACACCCGAAAAUCUGUAGGGCUAAAAAGCCACUCAAAUUACCUCCCAAAUCUAUUAUGUUCCACUUUCUAUGAGGUACCUUUAGUUUGUGCUGUUAUAGCUUAAAAUAGACAGUUAUACCACUCCUCGGAACAUCUCUAGUGUUUUAAAGAGUACACCCAUAUACUAGCCACUUUUAUCUACUUACUUCUAAUUGGUUAGCCUGGGUUUACGGUUACAGCUUAAAUGGAACAGUUAUUACCCCCCCGAAACAUCUGUAGGGCUAAAAGCACACUCAAAUACCUCCACAUCUAUAUGUCACUUUGCUAUAUGGUACCUUUAGUUGUGCUGUUAUAGCUUAAAACUUAGAACAUUAUACACUUUCUCGGAACAUCUGUAGCUGUUAAAUGAGUAACACCCAUAUACCUGCCACUUUUAAUCUAUCUACUUCUAUAUGUAGCCUUGCGGUUUUUACGGUUACAGCUUAAAAUGGAACAGUUAUACCACACGCCCCGAAACAUCUGUAGGGCUAAAAAGCACACUCAAAUAUCCUCCCACAUCUAUAUGUCCCACUUCUAUAAUGCGUCACCUUUAGUUGGCUGUUAUAGCUUUAAAUAGAACAGUUAUACGCACUCCUCGUAACAUCUUGUUAGUGCUUAAAUUGUACAACCCAUUAUACCUACCACUUCUCUCUAUCUUACUUCUAUAAUUGGAUAGCUUGGGUUUUCGGUUACAGCUUAAAAUGACAGUUAUACCACACCUUCGAAACAUCUGUUUAGGGCUAAAAGCAACACUUCAAAUACCUCCACUCUAUGUCCCACUUGCUAUAUGGUAUCCUUUAGUUGUACUGUAUAGCUUAAAAUAGAAAGUUAUCCAUCCUCGGAACAUCUGCGGAGUGUUAAUAGCUACACCCAUAUACCUACCACUUACUAUCUAUAUCUACUUCUUAUGGUAGCCUGGUUUACGGUUACAGCGUUAAAAGUGAGACAUUAUACCACACCUCGAAAAUCUGCUAGGGCUAAAGCACACUCAAAUACCUCCCACAUCUAUAUGUCCAUUCUUAUAUGGUACCCUUUAGUUAUGUUACUGUUAAUAGCUUAAAAUUGAACAGUUAUACACUUCUCGGAACAUCUGUAUUGCUUUAAAAGAGUACACCACUAUUACCUGUGAUUUAUCUAUCUAUCUAUUAUUGGUAGCCUUGGUUGUGCCUUCAUAGCUUUAAAAUGUGAACAGUUUUACCACAGGCCGGACCCGGAACAUCUGGUAGGGCCUAAAGAGUACAGCCAUAUACCUGCCACUUUAUCUAUCUACUUCUAUUGGUAGCCUUGGUUUUGCGGUUACAGUCUUAAAAUGGCAACCAGUUAUACACACCCCCGAAACAUCUGUAGGGCUUAAAAGCACACUCAAAUACCUCCAUCCAUAUGUCCUUUCAUAUAUGGUAUCCUUGUUGUUGCUGUUAUAGCUUAAAAUAAAAUCAGUCUUAUACCACUCCUUCGGAACAUCUGUAGUGUUAAUAGAUUACACCAUAUACCUGCCACUUCUAUUCUAUUACUUUCUAUAUUGUAGCCUGGGUUGUGCGGUUGACAUUGCUCUUACAAAUGGCAACAGUUUAACCACACCCCGAAACAUCUGUAGGGCCCUAAAGCAGAACACUCAAAUACCUGCAAUCUAUAUGUCACUUUUAUAUUGGUACCUUUUACACUUGUGCUGUUAUAGCUUAAAUUAGAACAGUUAUACCACACCUCGGAACAUCUGUAGGGCUAAAGAGUACACCCAUAUACCUGCCACUUCUAUCUAUCUAUUUCCAUAUGUUAGAAUUGGAUUGUGCGGUUCUAGCUUAAAAUGGAACAGUUAUACCACACCCCAGAAAAUCUGUAGUGCUAAACCACUCCCCUAUAUGCCAGCUAGAUACAUAUGUCCACUUCUAUAUGGCAGCAUUAACCUCGUCGCGCGUCGGGCCUGCAAAUAAGUGAUUAAGGAGGACUUGAGCGCUAACUGAAGGUGAAUCUGACACUUUUGUUGCUAUUGUAGUUGCGACAGCGACGACACUCAAUACUUACCUGCGCCUCCUCAACCGGCGCAGGGACAUCAUCAAUCUCAACAGGUGCCAUUGCACUUUCUGAAUGUCUAUCUCCGAUACGAUAACUCUCAUAAAAUUAUUUUGCAAACAUAAUAAAAUUUGGAUAACAUCUCAUCUAUAAUAAAAUCGGAGAAAAUGACAUCAUGGUAAAUUGACACAUUACAUCAAUAGGAUAAAUUGACUAGACUUUUAUCAACAACUGACAUUACACAAAAUACAUCAAGAAUAUGAUUAAGCAGAAUACAAGAUUACCAGUCACAAAUUCACAAUUGCACAUUUACAGUCAUAUAUGAAAUAUCUGUGAACGACCACUCACAAUGUGCACAAUUGUACAUUCACAAUCAUAUAUAUACAAAUUGCCCAGUACCAUUCACAAUUGCACAAUAAUAUAUAAACACACUGUACAGUACCAGUAACAAUUGUAAAAUCCUAUAACAUUCAGACAUCGUCUUUUGCGACUAUGCACUCAAUCAUAGAAGUAUAGGUCAGACAAUAUGGAUCCUUUAAGAUCGCGCUGACCAUAUGAGCACGGAAGGAGCGGGGGUCAUCAUCGUAUAAUGAUAGAUCGGGGAGGCCGUUUCUUACGAGUCUUUCGGCAAAAAGGCAUGUGUACAUGCCACAAUCAACUUCGAUGGAACCCUGUUGUUGACAUUCCUUAUGAAAUAUGACGUCAGGAGCGCCGACAGGGAUUUCGAGGAUGUGCUCAAAAUAGGACGCAAACCAUUUCGCCUUUCCAAGACAAAAAAAAGGGUUAAUUAAUUCAAACCAGUAGAUAGUAGAUGUUACUGUCGCGUUAAUAAAUAACUAAAACACUCUGUCUACUGAGAAGAAUAAAAUAAUACCAGCAGCUGUGCCGCGUCCUGUGACCCGCUGUGGCUCCACAAAGAGUUCCAACUCUCAAAACGCCGUUCUUUCAAAUCAAUCGAUAGCAAAUGCCAAUGCCAAUUACUAUGUAACGGAAUAAGUACAUAUCUACAAGUAUUGCAGGUUUGUGUAUUUAAUUUUUCCACAAAGUGACGUAUAGAUGCGGAUCCAAAUGCCACAUCCUUCACAAAAUCAGCUGUUACUGGAUUAUUCUUUCCAUAUUCCUGCAUCUUAUUGAGUACGUGCAUCUGCAUAGAAACAGAAAACAAGAUAGCAUCUUCAGUGAAGGCUAAUAGUGAUCUUCAGAAAACAAGAAAGCAUGUUCAGAAAACAAGAUAGUAUAGAAACAGAAAACAAAAUAGAUAACAACUAAUAUAAUAGUGAAGGCAUCAAACUCACCGCAACUUCAGUUCGUAAGAAAAUACCCGGUUGAUUAAAUUUAUGUACACCACAGCAAUCGAGCUUAUCAAUUAUAUGAAAUAUACAUUAAUCACCUAAAUAAAACAAUCAGCAAAACAAUGAGAAUUAGAAUAAUAUAUAUAUAAUUAGAUAUGUAUAUAACAAGCUAUAAGCGCCAACUACAAUGCAUAAUCUGUGCCAGCACUAACCUCGUCGCGCGUCGGGCCUCCAAAUAAGUAAUCAUUGAGGACUUGACCACUAACAGAAGGUGAAUCUGACCCUUUUGUAUUAUCUUGCCAUAUGGGUCCCCUAUAAAAAGAACAUUUAAUUAAUAAUACGAAAGAAAUUAAUGUUCUGUCCAGCUAAGGUAGAAUAUUUGACCAAAAAUAUCUAAUCCUAACUAAUCACUACAUGUAUAUAAGGAUUGACGAACUUUGUUAUAGGUCGGGAAAUUAGAAAAUCUAUUGCGUCCUGCUCCACUUUGGGAAUUUUAUCUCUUCCGGGAUACUUGCGACGACGCUCAAUAAUGACCCCAGGCUCCUGAUCCGGUACAGGGAUAUCAUCAAUCUCAACGGCUUGUUUUGCACUAUCUGAGUGUCCAUGUUCAGCUUUAAUUUCCUAUAUUGAACAAACUCACGUGAAAAAGUCAUAUUUUAUAUGAUAUAAGUUUAUUCGCACUAAACUUAAUCAUGUAUAUCAUACCAGAAGGACCUCAGCAAUGGUCCCUGUCGCAGUAUCUGAUGCCUCUUCACUAGCUUCAGCCCCCCCGAUCUUCAAAGAAUGAUGCUGCUUUCGUCUAUAGUGCCGGGUCAAAGGACGUUCGCCCGGCGUAAAAUCAGGAGACAUUCUCUUUUCUUUCCUUGCACGAUGUUUAAUUCGUUGAAUUCUUGAAGGAAUGUCCCUUAUUACAGUCUCGCCAACAUCAACUCUCUGUUGGCUGCUUUCUUCAACCGCUGCGCCUUGGCCACCUUGAUGUGGAUCAACACCGGCUUCGGCUCCGCCUUCUGCAGCAGCGGCUGUACUAGCGCUAGAUAGUUGCGCUUCAAGCUUUGCAUUUUUUUCUUUUAGCAUUGCAUUCUCCCCCUCCAACAUCUUAUUCCGAUCUUGUAGUUUAUUAAGAGCUUGCUCCAAUUGAUUCAAUAAGGAGCUGAUAUUAUUGCUACUUUCACCGGCAGCAGUUGUUGCCGCGGGGGCCGCUGCCUGUACCACAUUCGAGAGAGAUGUACGAAAGGACAAUAUCACAAUUUGACAAAUAAAAUCUACCAAAAUAAUAUUUUCUACUACCUCAAUUCAGUAAUACCUGUUCCGGUCGGCUGCCACGUAACGUGGGCUUCAAUAUAGACAUAUCAUUAGGGCGGUAAGUAAAUGUGGGUACAACCUGCCAAAAAGAUAAAUCUAUUUAAUAAGUAUUAUAAGAAAAUUAUAAAACUACAUUCCUUACAGAAAUGGUUACCUCUGCAGGAGUAUAGCUCUGCAGCUUUGUUAGAAGCUUCUCAUAACUCCGGUAUGCUUUUGAACCCUUCCAUUUUCUCAUCCGAGGGACAUCCUUGUCUCCGUCGGAAGUACCCAACCCCUUUAUAUGCUCAUAAGCCCAACUCUGUAAGUUUAUCAAGAAUUGCGAUAUUAAAAAACUAUGCAACAGAUAUUCUAUUGACAAAAUACAUCAAGGAUAUUACUUACUAAAAAUGCUAUUGUACAUCCGUCAAUAUAGCCGGCAAGUCUUUCUUGGCCGCUAUUCCGAUGCUUCACACGCGGGGAUGCUCUGGAGAUCGAGCUGACAAGAUAAUUACAUACAGCAUGGCCCCAGGCAUAUUCCCCUAUUCUAUGCACAUCAUCUAUAUAUCUAUAUAUCGCCUUCGGCACAAUGUAGUGGCUGGUCGGAAAAAGGACGGUCGCAAAUACGUAUAAUAUAAAUAUACGCGCAAAAUCAGCUGCCAUCUCCUCUCCAUUCUGACCAGCAAUACUGUACAAAAUAUGUCUUAAUUUCGACCUAUCGGCAUGCCGAUAGUCACCAUCGAAAUAUUUAUCAAGAGUGCUCGACUUUACACUCUUGCUCUGCCAUUCUAUUGGUUCCCCCUCUGCUGGCAGCCCUACCAAAAUGGAUAUUUCCUCUGGACUAAAAGGAAGAAAUGUUUCUCCAAUUCUAAUACAUCUUCUCUCUUCGUCCCAAAAACUGAGGAGGCAAUCGACUAACACAAGAUCUUGUUUAAUUGGAGGCAAGUCGACAUAAGAAAAGAAUGGAGUGGUCUUCAGAAGUGCCAUCUGUUCAUCGGACAUUACAUCACGUAAUGCGGGGCCAGCUGUUUGAAUUCUACCCGCGGUCUUCGGCAACUCUGAAACACACAUUGUGGUGUGCAGAUGAACUGGGUAACAUCUGCCCACAACAAGCUCCAUGGCCGCCCUUUUAGCUUGGGAUAGCCUCUCUUUUCUUUUCUCUGCAGAAUGCGCAGAUGUGCCUUCACCACUUGUAGUGGCCUUCUUGCUCGACUUGGCUCUGGUGGAAACCAUUUUUUCACCUGCAUUUUAUAAACCACAAGUAAGCACAUAACUUCGUUCUGAAAGUAACGAGAAAAUAGUGUUCUAUUAAGCUCAAAGAGUGUUCUAUUCUACUAUAACAAAAGAGUAUUGACAAUCAUAAAGCUAGCUAUUAAGAGUAUUCUAUUAACCUUUACAACUGUUCUAUUAUGGCAUAAAAGUGUUCUAAACCAAAAAACUGAUAGCAGUGUUCUAUUAAGCUUUAUAAUAGACAUAAAAGAGUAAGAUUGCAAUGUAUACAUGUUCGCAAGUGUAAACUUGAUAAAACUGUUUUAUUAGCUCUAAGAGUGUUCUAUUCUACUAUCACAAAAGAGUGUUCACAACCAUAAAGCUAGCUAUUCUACAAUGACAAAAGAGUAUUGACAAUCAUAAAGCCAGCUAUUAAGAGUGUUCUAUUAACCUUUACAUCUCCAUAAAGUCUAUUAUGGCAUAAAAGUGUUCUAAUCCAAAAAACUGAUAGCAGUGUUCUAUUAAGCUUUAUAAUAGACAUAAAAGAGUAAGAUUGCAAUGUAUACAUGUUCGCGAGUGUAAACUUGAUAAAACUGUUCUAUUAAGCUCUAAGAGUGUUCUAUUCUACUAUGAGAAAAGAGUGUUGACACCAUAAAGUUAGCUAUUAAGAGUGUUCUUUUAAUCUUUACAACUGUUCUUUUAUGGCAUAAAAGUGUUUUAUUCUACUAUGAUAAAAGAGUGUUGACAACCAUAAAGCUAUUAAAAAUAUUCUAUUCACCUUUACAACUGUUCUAUUAAGCCUUAAGAGUGUUCUAUUCUACUAUGACAAAGGAUUGUUGACAAUCAUAAAGCUAGCUAUUAACAGUGUUCUAUUUAACCUUUACAACUGUUCUAUUAUGGCAUAAAACUAUUAUAAAGCCUAAAACUGAUAGCACACUUUCAUUAAGUUUUAAGAAUGUUUUAUUAAGUCAUAAGAGGGUAAGAUUGGAAUGCAUACAUGUUCGCAACUGCAAAUCUGAUAAAAGUAUUCUAUUAUGCUCUAAGAGUGUUCUAUUUUACUAUGACAAAAGCGGGUAAGAUUGAAGCCUUAAAACCAUGAUAUAGCAACAUAAUUGGAAGUACAGAAGAUCUCCCAGAUAUCUCAAUUAAUCAGUAAUGUUGAUCUCCAAAGUAUAGAUUUUUGAACUCCCAUACAUCUCAAUUAAUCAGUCAAUUGAUCUCCGAAAUAUAGAAACAUGAAAAACUCAAAAAUGCACGUGUGCGUGAAUUCAAUUCAAAGAGAAACAAUCCACAAUGCUCAUAUUCUUUCUUCUUCUUCUUUUUUUCUUUGCUAAGUUUUGUAGAUCCCCAACUGUCAUUCCAAAUGUAUACCACAUAAAUUAAAAACUACCGAUAAAUAUAAGAAAUUUAAGAACGAUAUCUACAAAUCAAGGUUUAAGUAUUCUAUUAUACUCUAAGAGUGUUCUAUUCUACCCAUACACCCUAUAUUGAGUUGUUCUAUUAUCCUUUACAAUUAUUCUAUUAUGCCAUAAACGUAAUUUUUUCUUUUAAUAGCACGACGGAUACAGUGUUCUGUGAAACUUUAAGAUAUGUUUGUUCUAUUUCCUUAAUCAUAUAGUUUUUUUGGUGUGUAGUAAUUGACAUGUUUGCUAUAUCAGUGUUCGCAACAAUUAACUGAAAAGUUAAUUUUCUUUAGUUUGUAUCUCUCCAGAAUGUGUCUAAUGUCGAUGAGAUUAAACAGACAAUCAUAAAGCUAAUAAAAAGUAUCUAUUUAAAGCUGAAAAAGAAGGUUCUUUUUAGCAAAAAUAAGUUAGUGGUCAAGGUUAUUUGUGUUUAAGCAUUUAUAUUUUGUUGUCGCAAAACACAAAAUCUUAUAGAAUAGUUUUGUUCACCAAAAGAGGUGUUCUUCUUCUAUAUAUGCUCUAAGGUAUAAAUACCUUUAUCAUAAGAGACAGAUUGAUUUUGUUUUUUUUGCUUUUCGUUUAGUUGUUACAUGAAUCUUAUGCCAAAAACCAAUACAUUAUUAUAAGAUUUAAAACAUAUAUUAAUUUGUUUUCAUACAAUUAUAUUGCACUAAAAAGUCAUAGAAAAAUGCUUUAUUUUACAAAUCCAACAAUAAAGUUAAUAUACCAGCUGAGAAUUCCCUAAAAUAAAGUAAUAGCUAGGCUGAGGAAAAUCCGCAGCACGCAAAGAAGAUACCCUAGCAUGCAACCCUAAACCCCUCAAAUAUAAUUUAUAUUAAAUUUAAAUAUUAGAAAAAGAUUAUUAGAAAAACAAAAAUUUUCCUAAUUGAUGUAGUUAUAUCUUCUGUUUCGGUUUUUUGUUGUCGAUAGUACCCAUUAAUCUUUCCAAUUCGUGUACGCUUAUUUGUUCAUGAUAUUAUUGAAAGGCGUUCAAACCAGGUAUUGGAUUUGAUAGGGGAGCAUUUAGAGCGACCUUUUCCCUUCACCAAUGGAGGAAAGGAGGCCCCCUGGUGAUGAGAUCACCUUUUUUAGACGGGCUCAGCGACACCAGAUCUGGUGGAACGAUGCGCGUGCCGUAAUACUUCUGCCCAAUUGUGGUUGAGUUGUAUGCCCCGUGCGAGCGAUGAAAGCAGAGAAAGAGAAAAGGGAGUAGCGCUUGAGAUGAAGUAGAUAUAAGUACCGAGAGAGGCGCGAGAAUUCCUAAAGAGAGGUCGAGGGAGCUCGAUUUGCGCGUUGUUGGACCUGGUUGAAGAGCGGGCGGGACCGGGAAAGGUUAAAGGUGUAUUACGGGAGAUUUUUUGAUUUUGAUUUGUGAUGGAGAGAUGUGUAGUAGGGUUUUAGCCUUAAGGAAGAAAAAAUAAAAAAGGGUGUCUUGAAAAAGUUUGUGAAGGUUAUGCUAAACGUUGUGCCUAUAAAAAUAGUGCCGGUUGACUCAUUAAUUUUUUUUUUUUGUCUGUUGUAGGUUUGUAUAUUAUUUCAUGCCUUCUUUUUGUUUUUUUUUGUUGUUUGUUAUUUAUUGGUAUUUGUAUGCUAUUGGUUAAGUUAUCUUUUUUUUGUUUCCCCGUUUGUAUAUUUUAAAUUUUCAUAUAGAUAAUUAAUCCUUUGUAUUUUUGUUCAACAUAGUCUAAUGAUGGUAUUUUUUAUGUUUGCCAGUUUUGUUUUUUUUGCACCAUGCAACUUGAAUAUAUUUAAUUUGUAAACAAGUUGUCCAUCAUUAUUACCAAAUAAUAUCUUACCUUUCCUUUCUGAUUUUGCUAUAUUAUUUUAUCUAUUUUGUAUAUUUUUUUUUUUUUUUUUUUAUAUGUCUUUUUUUUUUUUAUUAUUUUUUUAUAUUUUUCUUCUCUUUUUUUUCUCCUUUUUUCUUAUGUUGUCUCUUACAGUUCUUUUUAUUUUAUUUAAGGAAAAUGGUUCAAAUUGUAAUGCGACCAAUAGAGCAUUCACAGUCCCCAAGUAGAUCUAUAAACCUCCAUCUUAGUUUAAUAAAAAUAAAAACUCAGCCCCUUACCUAAAAAUUUAGAAGUAGAAUUUACUUUAAAUUUUAAAUAAAAUUGAUUAUUUAAAAUAAUAUAUUUUAAAACCCGAAAUCAACAAUAGAUCUCACUAACCUGUUAAAUAACAAUUUUGUCGAAACUCCAUCUUCUAUUAACUCUAUUAUAUCGUUAUAUCAAGGUCCUAUUUAAUAGGAUUAACUCAACAUAAGUAAGAACUGAAAUUUGUUUAUCCUUUCAGACCCAGAUACGAAACCUUCUUCUUCAAAAAAUUUUAAUCUUUAAAAAGGGAAAAUAAAAUUCUAUGUAAAUACUGUUUUCAUCCCAUCACCUCCGCAUAAACCUUGCUUUCCAAAAAAUCUAGGGCGCGUAUUGGUUCGCCCAUGUUCUUCAACCCCCUGGAAGGCAAUUCGAAAUGGACAAAUCCUUUGUCCGUUUAGUAUCGGCGGGAUUCCCAUCCAAUUCUGAUUCCCGGUUGCCGUUCCUGAGACCCUAGAUGAAACUUGAAAUCGAUAAAGGAUUUAUUCACGAUUAAAUUUAAUUGUUAAAAACUUAUUUUAAUUUACAAAUAAUAAACUUAAGUUUAAAAAUUAUAUUUAUAAAUUAAAUUUAAUUUGACACGUAAAUAAAAUGAAAAUCAAUCAAGCAUUUUCGAAUCUAAUUUUACAAACUUGAAUUUAAAUUUAAAUUUAAUUUAAAAUCUAAAGUUUUAUUUAAAAUUUAAAUUUAAUUUAUGGAUUCAAAUUGAAAUUGAAAUUAUAAUUUUAAGUUUGAACUUAAAUAAAUCGAAAUUUAGUUUUAUAUUUUGAAUCAUCUGUUCAAUUUCAAAUUUUAAUUUUUUUAAAAAAUAUAUUUAAAAUUUUGACAUCAUUUUAAAAUUUUGACGUAAAUUUUAAUAUUUAAUUUUUAGUUUGAAUUUAAACGAAUAUAUUAUAAAGAUAAAUUUGACAUAUUAAUUUGAUUACGUUUCUAAUAUCUAUCUGAAUCAAAUACCGACAAUAAGAAUUAUUCAUUUCGAUUCUUAUUCAGGUGGCCAACAAAAUAGAAUGAGGCAAUGAAUCAUUCCAAUUUUGUUUCCGCCUUAUUCUCAUUCCAAUUCUGAUAUCGUUUUCAACUUCGAACCAAACACACCCUAUAUUUUAUCUUCUCAAAAUUUAAAGUUGAUGGAUUUAAACGUCCUUCGAUCGUCAGAGUUCCGUCACUACUAUUCGGUCUAUUUUUUAUAAUUUAUACUGAAGAUACCCUAAAAUUGUUAGAAAUGACAUUAAAAAAAAAUUAUUUUUUUCUUAACAAGUAAAGAAAAUUUAGUCAUCUUAGAAAGUAAAAAAUAUGGAUAUUUAUAAGGGGAUGUUUUUUUAUUUUAGCCAAUAAAUAAAGUUUUUAUAAGGGUACAAAGCAUUCUCCAAAUACAUAAUACGAGUAGCUGAAGGCAUGCACCAACUAAUUUGAUGCAUCGACUUUUACACACACAUACAUUGAAAAUAAAAUAAAAUAAAAAACACAUAUAAGAUAACAUCUGCAUAUAUCGAUCAUCAUUUUCAAUUUUCCUCAAGCACGGAUUAUUUAGAAGAUUUGAGGCGAAAAAUAUGAAAGCAUCAAGCUCGGCCGGUGCAUUGCAAAAAGCGCACAAACUCAGCUACAUGAUAUGGAAUCAUUGAAUCCUUUCUUUGACAAGCUUGCCGUUUCCGUCUGGUUCGAACCAAAUAGAAAAAUUCGAGAUAUGGCGAACCCUCGUGCGCCAGUCAUUGCUGUGGUCGCCUUCUCCUUCUGCUCGAAGCAGCUCAGCAAGUUCCUCUGCUGGAUAGCCAAUGUCUAAAUCCUGAAGGGUGGUAAGGUACUCGAUGCCGUGGGGCAGCUUCUUUAGCUCUGGGCAACGGUAUACGUCUAGCUUUUUCAGGUUUGCCAUUGCUCCUUUUUCUAUUUCCACCUGAUUGAGCUGCAGGGCAUUUGCUAUACGCAAUUCCUUUAGCUUCGGGAAUGAUGUUGCUUGGAAGUGCAACUUCAUGCCAUCAUAUGCAUCAAAAAGUUCGAGAAGCAUCAACGCAGGCAGCGCUUGCAGGUAAGGAAACGUAUCUUCGUCCAAUUUUGCAUAUGUAAGUGAUAAUGCGGUUAGGUUUGUUAGAGACCCAAAGGAUGUGGCAAGCUCAGGGACUGAGUUUUUGUCUAAUUUACCCCACAGCCAUAAUUCUUUAAUUGGUAGAGGUAGGUGCAAGGUGCCCAACUGCUGUAAUUCUUGCCCAUAUUCACUCCCGAUAAAUAAAUUGCUAAGAUGGUUCAUCUUUGUGAUACUAUUCCACAAGUCCGCACAGUGAUGGGUUCUUACGCCCGUUAUUGAAAAUGUCCGCAACUCUGUCAAAGCUUCUACAUUCCGCACAAUCUUCCUAGUUGCACAAAUGUUUGCCAAACUCUGCAAGCCCUUCAAGCGCCAUAUUCCCACCGGUGCCUUGAUGUUCUUAUCCAAAUUGCCGGACAAAACUAGAUGUCUCAACUUUUGAAGCUCUGUUAUUCCUUUUGGCACCUUUUCUAUUUCACUUUCACAUGUAUCUAAUAUUUGCAGAUUUUGUAGCUUCCCGAUUGAUCUUGGAAGCUCCUUAAUUUUUGUUGCUCGCAAGCCUAGAUAAUGCAGAUUGAAUAGGUUACAGAUCUCACUCGGUAGUUUCUCGAUUAGCGCUCCUUGUAGUUCCAAGACACGUAAAAAUUUUGAUGAUCUUAAGAUCGACUUCAGUAAAUCAUAGCUCAUGGAAUUGUUGAAAACAAGUACUGAACGCAAAUGAGAUUUGUCUUCAGUACAAUAAUUAGGUAUAUUGCUUAGGAUUGACAAGCGGCAUGCUUUGGACCUCUGCGGUUUUGUCUGAGAAUGCUCAUAAACCAUGCAAAAGUUUAACUCCUUUGACUCUGAAAGAGCGAGGACUCGAAUGAUGUCAUGCAUUCGAUAUGCACAAACUCUUCCAAUUUCGUCCCACUCAGCCACUUGUAGUAGACAGCGAUGAACAAGUUCGUUAAGGUAGUCCUCAGCCACUUCCUCCAUCGUUAUUCCUCUUUCUUCAAUGAACCCCUCAGCCACCCAAAGCCUUAUGAGCCUCUCACUUUUAAUUGUAUAGUCUUCCGGAAAGCUAGAACAAUAUAAGAAGCAAUUUCGAAGGUAAUGGGGAAGAUCGUCCAAACUAAGUUUCAAAAUGUCAUGUACUUUUUCAUGGAGCUUCGAUUCACUGUUUGUUAGAUACCACUCAAGAUCUUUGUAAACCUUCUCCCACUCAGAACCGGUUUGUUCUCGAAAUGAUAAGAGACGGGCUAUAGAUACGAUAGCAAGGGGCAAGCCACCGCACUUCUCGGCAAUUUGUUUAGCACAUUGUUCUAAAGGCGGUGGGCAAGUCUUCUUUGCACUUUUCCAAAAUGUGUUUUUACAAAAUAGAUCCCACGAAUCAUUUGCCUCCAGUUUCUCUAGCUCAAGCAUACAGUGAUCGUUAGCUAAUAGUGCUACUUCAUGAUUCCUUGUUGUGAGAACUAUUCGACUCUUGCUAUUACUAUUCAGAAGUGCAUUCCUUAUAUUGUCCAGUACAUCAGCACUCCAAACAUCAUCUAGAAUAAGUAGUACAUAGUUUUUACAUUGCAAGUAAGUGCGGAUAGUCUCAACCAAGCUUCUGCGAUCCAUGGUAUCAAUGUCGUUCGGUGCUUGUCUUUUCUCAUGAUCUUCCCUAUAAAACUCUUUUAACAUCUGUCUGAGGAAAUCAUCAGUCUCAUAACUUUGAGAUACAGCAACCCAGGCACAAGCAUCAAAGGUAGCUUUGAUGAUUUUGUACACAUGAGUUACGAGAGUUGUCUUCCCUAGACCACCCAUCCCCAACACUCAGAUUGUCAUGUGCUGCCGUUGCUGCUCAUCCUCAUCUUUCAACCAUCUGAGCAACAAGUCCUUGUACUUGUCAAUACCCACGAUAUCAUCCUCCUCGACAAAAUGUGCUAAUUCUGCACGGCUCUUGCUAUCGCCAACAGCUAUUUGAGAUUUUGCUUCACUUUCCAUUCCUCUUGUAUCAUAUCUUGUCCUUCUCUCCAUAAUGUUUUGGAGCUUAAUUUUGAUCUCUCUAAGCCUCUUGCUAAGGCGAUGCCAAGUUGUUAUAUUUCUGCACCCCUUGACUGUUUUAGGUAGGACGCCUCCUUGCUCUUCACCGAGCUUGUAUGUGAACUCAUCUAUAAUAUCCUCAAUGUCGAAAGCCAAGUCUCUCAUUUGUUUUAUAAAGAUUUUUGUGCUCUCAUCCUUCUCUUUUUGUCUUUCUGCGAUCCGUAGGAAGGAUAGCAUGCUCUCAAGCUCGUCCUUAAUGUCACUUAUAUCCUCCACAAGUUCUUUCAUUGCUGAUAUCCAUGAUUUUGUUGCUUUAGUUGCUUCACUAGCUAAGGCAGUACCAAUAUUCAGGAGUAAUGAGCUUACCGCAGCCUCCGCCAUAGGCACUUCCUCUGAAUUGAGCCUAAAAUAAACAAUCUUUUCAAAUUAUCAUGUCUCUUUAAAUGCACCACUAGCAAAAAUGAUUAUUUUUUAACGCUCUUAUGAUUCAAGGCAAUUUUCGUAAAAAAUAUGUAAUUGUCUCAUCAACCGGAAUAACUCUGUAGUGCACUAAACAAACACUUGUUAGAAUCCUCAGUUAAAAAGAAGAAACACCAGUAACAGUAUUGUAGUCUGGAAGAACAAAAAGCAAUAACUUGUUUGAGAUUCAGUUUAACAAAAUUUUGAGAUGAAAGAUUCAUCAUAACUAGUCAUGCUGAACUCGACCUCAAUGUAUAUUUGUAGAGCAAGUUGUGAAAAAGUCCUUUAGAGGAGAAUGAAAUCAAUAAAGAGUCGGAAAGUAAAUCAAUCUGUUGCUAGCCAGUGAAGUAGAUGGUAUCGUAUUAAGCGUGAUUGUAAAUUAUUUUACAAUUAACAAUUAUAAAUCGAGUUUCUUUUGAAGCCCUCUUCUUGUUCAUAAUUAAGUUAAUAUAUAUCAGGACUACAAGUCAUUUGAGCAAGAAACUAUUAGUGCUUCUUUAAAUAGUUUUAUUUUGAUAGCAAUGUAAGAACUUGAAUUUUAGACUCUUGAAAGUACUCCCGUAUUUCUAAUAUGUUAAAUUUUAUUGCCUCGACAUUCACACUGCCUAUUAUCGGAUCAGAAUCUAGAAGUUCUACUUUUACUUCUUCGAAUUUGUGCUGCAAUUUGUAAUAUGAUGUAGAAGGUCACUUCUUUGUACAUUAGCAAGUUUAAAUCCAAAGAAAAUCACUAUUAAUUAAUUGCAUACUCUGUAUACUAUCCACUGCACAUUUCUUGAUGAUACUUAUAGUAUAUAACUAAGGAAUCAUUGUCGCUAUUGCUCUUGUUACCCGAAAGAUUGAUCUGAUAGUAAUCUCUUAAUUAAAGACUUAAGAUGUUUUACUCAUUUACAUGCUAAAUAACUCACGAAUGAUGUCAAUACACUGAUAGAAGAUGUAAAUAAAAUAGACAAACAAACUAAAUUUAAAUGCCGUUAAACUGCAUAUAUUAGUUGAGCUUUUGAUGACAAAUAAAAUCCUCUCAACUAUCUAGAUCAAGAUCUGCAACGAAGAUUGUGAAUUUAAGAAAUUUUUUUAAUUAUAUUUUUAGAAGGUUACUAAUUUUGACCAUUCAUAUUGUGCCCGCUUGGUGAGCAAGAAAAUAAAUUUUAAAAAUCAUAGAACUCUUUUUCUAGAAAGUUUAUAUAUCCUUAAUCAUCUUCCAUGGUACAUUGAUCAUCGAUUUAGAUGCUCAAUAAUCAACAAUAAAGUGAAAAUACUACAUGGGACCAAAUUAUUCUACCUUAACUAUUAUUAUCUCUUGUUUUCUUGUUUCCAAGGAUCAGGUGAAUCCAAACAACAUAUUAAUCAGCAAAGGCAUAUACUAUAUAUACUCCUUGUACCCUUUUGCAGAAUCAACUAGUUGAGAUAGCAAAGAAAAUAAAAAUUAAUUAAAAGUGUAGCGGAAGAAGAAGAACAACAACUAACCACAGAUCCAAAAAGGAUUAGAUUGAAGAGGGAGUUGCUCCAAGAUAAUUAAUCUCAAGUUUAACUAGAGAAAAUACUGCAACCAAAUUAAGAAGCUCUUGAAGUAGAUGUUUUAUAGGGAUUGAAGAGUGAGAGGAUGAGGAUGAACUAUAUUAUUUUACAAACAAAUAUAUAAUUGGGAGCAAAUGGUCUGGAGUGCAGUGGGUGAUGACGAACUAGUGCAUGCACCGGGGCCCGGCACUGGGUCAUGAAUUCGUUAAAAAAUUAUAUUUCGGACUACGAAUAUUUAAAAAAUAAUAAAUUUAUUAUCAUCGAUCCGUUGUAGAAAUCUAAAAGAAAAAAAAAUGAACGGGACAAAAAAAAAUAAUGCAAAUUAAUUUGUAGUCGUCAAAUACGACAUCCAUUGCGAGGCUUUCCAGCCUGGCUUGGAUCGGUGAAAAGGUAGGUUCAACUAACCAAUAAUAAUAAUAAUAUAUAUAUAAUUAUCUAAUGCAACAAUAUAUAGUUUGUAAUACAAAUACAAACAAUAAAUUAUAUUUUAUAUUAUGGCUGGUUUGUUUACUUUAUUUUUUAUCCGUGUUAAUUUUGCUUGCCUCUUUUCUGGCCAUGGAAGUAUAUAAAUGUAGAUAAUAUUUUAUAUUUAUGUUGAAAUAAGUAAUAAGAGCUAUAGGAUAAUUUUAAUAUAUAUAUAUANNNNNNNNNNNNNNNNNNNNNNNNNNNNNNNNNNNNNNNNNNNNNNNNNNNNNNNNNNNNNNNNNNNNNNNNNNNNNNNNNNNNNNNNNNNNNNNNNNNNNNNNNNNNNNNNNNNNNNNNNNNNNNNNNNNNNNNNNNNNNNNNNNNNNNNNNNNNNNNNNNNNNNNNNNNNNNNNNNNNNNNNNNNNNNNNNNNNNNNNNNNNNNNNNNNNNNNNNNNNNNNNNNNNNNNNNNNNNNNNNNNNNNNNNNNNNNNNNNNNNNNNNNNNNNNNNNNNNNNNNNNNNNNNNNNNNNNNNNNNNNNNNNNNNNNNNNNNNNNNNNNNNNNNNNNNNNNNNNNNNNNNNNNNNNNNNNNNNNNNNNNNNNNNNNNNNNNNNNNNNNNNNNNNNNNNNNNNNNNNNNNNNNNNNNNNNNNNNNNNNNNNNNNNNNNNNNNNNNNNNNNNNNNNNNNNNNNNNNNNNNNNNNNNNNNNNNNNNNNNNNNNNNNNNNUAUAUAUAUAUAUAUAUAUAUAUAUAUAUAUAUAUAUAUAUAUAUAAUUGAGCUAUUAUGUUUUUAAAAGUAUCAAGUCAUUGGUGCUUGUAAGUUUUCGGCCCUUGGAUUAAGGAAUAUGUGGUUAGAAUGAUGUGGGCCCUCUAGGGUUGAGUGAGUGAUUGGUUUAAUAGUAUGAUCUAACGGGUGAAAAUAAUCAAAGACGUAGGUUUAACGGUAAAAAAUUUACAAGCACCAAGUGGUUGGUACUUUUACAAGCACUAUAGCCAGACUCAUAUAUAUAUAUAUAUAUAUAUACAUAUAUAUAUAUAUAUAUAUAUAUAUAUAUAUAUAUAGUACGUCUCCCGUGCUUUCGAAAGUAUGGAGGUCUCCGUGCUUGUAAGUUGUUUUCGAUGAUAGGACAUCCGAUUCGAUGAUCGGCUCCGUUAGACAUAAUCUAUGCUAUUGGAACUAUUUAGAAACCAAAUUUUAUAAAUUUUUGACAUCAUUUACCAAACGAUCAUAGGGUCUCAAAAAUGACUAUUUUAACGGCCGAUGCGGCACGUUUUUAAGUUCAACGGUGUAGAAGUAUUCAAAUUACAUGAAACUUUAAUAGAAAAUUCUACUUAACAUCAAGAGCAAGAACAAUACUUCCGAUUUGAAAUUUGACUCCUUUAUCACUGUUUUUUAUGAGAUUUUUAUUUUUAGCUGUUCAUUUUGAGGUUACUCGUUCACCAGACAAAUGAAGUAAAAAUAUUAUAAAAUUUGGUUUGUAGAUAGUUCCAAUAGCGUAGAUCAUGUCUAACGGAACCGAUCACCGAAUUGAACGUCCUAUCAUCGAAAACAACUUACAAGCACGGAGGCAUCCGUACUUUUGAAAGCAUAAAGCCUAGCUCUCUCUCUCUCUCUCUCUCUCUCUCUCUCUCUCUCUCUCUCUCUAUAUAUAUAUAUAUAUAUAUAUAUAUAUAUAUAUAUAUGAGUUCGGCUGGGAUACUAUCGAUAGCACGAUACAUUUGGUGCUAUUAAGUUUUCUGCCGUUAGAUUUAUCUCUUUUAUUAUUUUUAACCGUUCGAUUAUACUAUUCAACUAACCACCCACUCAACCCUCGGGAGCCCACAUCAUUCUAACCACACAUCUUUUAAUCCAAUGGUAGAAAACUUAAUAGCACCAAGUGCCUCGUGCUAUUAAUAGUAUUCCAGCCUAGUUCUAUAUAUAUAUAUAUAUAUAUAUAUAUAUAUAGAGAGAGAGAGAGAGAGAGAGAGAGAGAGAGAGAGAGAGCAGGGCUGCUGUGCUCUCAGGAGCACGGAGCUCCUGAUCCGUUUUCGAUGAUGAAAUUUUUAAAUUGAUGAUCGGCUCCGUUAAACUUGAUUUAGGGUAUUUGAAGUUUCUAGAAAAUAAUUUUUGUGAUUUUUUGACAUCAUUUACCUAGUGAUCGAAAGGCUCGGGCUCAGCUGGUCACAACGACCAAGGCGGUGGUUGGGGAGCUAGGAGACGACGGCUGGGAGUCGCCGGAGGCCGGAGGAAGGCAACUCAGCAGGCUGUUGGCAGCAGCGGCGCGCAAGUGCGAUGCAGGCUAAGGCUUGGCCCAAGCUCGUGCAGGGUGGUCAUAGGGAGUAAGGCCGCGGCCAGCAGCCUGCGAGGACGACGAGGGCGGUGCGCCGAGGGUCGCCAGAGGCCCAGGAGGGUGGCGCGGCCGGCCAAGGGCGGCGGCGGCGCGCGGGCUAAGGUUUGUCCUGGACUCGACCCGAGAAGAUCUCAUUUGGCCGCGGGUCGUCCAGGGGCGACGGCGGCGUGUGCGGACGGCGGGCACCAGCGGUGACGGGGCCGGAGGUCAGGCCACGGCCGUGAAAGGGGGCCUCGACGCGUGAGGUUCACUCCUAGAGGUCUGCGACCAGGAAGAUGGCAGCUAGGUAGAGAUCUAGGAGGAGAGGAUGCAAUGAAUACUUUUCCGGCGGCCGGAGAUGCUCGCCGGCAACCGGAGUGUGCGCGCAGCUAGGGCAGGGAGGUGCUUGUGACAUCUGGGGAGCAGUUGAAGGAGCUAACUAACUAUGGUUAGGGUUUCAUGCCUGAAACCCUAACACCUACAUAUAUAUGUAAGAUAGUUUUGCAGAAAAGUCCUCCAAAGCUGAAUAUUUACAGCCCAGUCCCUCACAAUGCUUGUAUUACACGUGUACGCACCUCGACGUUUGAUUUCACGCAAAAUGGUACAUAAAAUAUGGUUUGUUUUGCAGAUUUUCCGUUUGUCAACUAUCAACCCCUUCUCGAUCUUCGCGCGAUAUCCAGAGAUCCAUCUGUCGGAUUUGUGAACGGAUUGCGCCCAUGCGUUCGGCACGACUGGGGCAUCAAACUCAUGAUUUCAUUUCACCUGAUAUGGUCGCCGAUUUGCUACGAAACCCAUCCACUCUCCAAUUUCCAAAAAUCUUUUUUGUGAUAAAAUUCUUUUUCUUGAAAACCGUGUAUCAGAUUUGAAAUCCGCCAACGCCAAUGGUUCCAGAAUAGUCGGACCAUUGAAAACGAGCUAUUGGACUGCUAUGAACGGAGUCCGAUACGCACCAGAAGCCAUCUCCAUUGAUCGGCCUCUCCGGAAAAUCGGAGUUACUAUUCACUUUAAAUGAUUAGUACAUGUCGCGUAACUUUUCCAUCCUAACUCGGUUUCUCCUAAAAUUUGACUAGUGUUUAUAUAAUUAAAUUACAUACAAAAAUAUCGUCAACACAGAGUUUAUUUGCACCGCAAAAAUCUCAGUCCUCACAUACCAGCACGAUGCAGUACCGGUACCUGAGCUCGAUACCGGUACUCGACUGGUCGGUACCGGUACUCAGUAUCUCUCCACGCAAAUCUGAGAGUGUUCUAAAACUGCACUGGGGUACUGGUACUCUUCUCUGGUACCGGUACUCAACACUGAAAUCCUGCACUUUGCGGAUUCAGUGUCAAAACACUACUUUCGUGUCACACUGAGUCCGUUUUGCGUUCAUUUCGCGUCAAAACGACUCCGACUUUUUCCGACACUCUCCAGAUGUGUCGACAAACCUUAGAUGCUGAAACCCACGGCUGCAGAACACCAGAGACAGCACAAUGAUCGUCUUAGAGUACAUUUUUGUAUAACAGGACUUUUCGUUUUCGAAAAUUAUGAAAAAUAUUGCAUAAAAUAAUGACUUGAUUGCGAGAUGAUCAUUUUAAUUUUCUGAAUUUCAUCGAUUAAUGCACCAAGUUAACUAUUAGACCUUACAAAUAAGUGCCCACGAGUAUUACAAACCAUCAAGAGCUAAGAAAAAUAAAUUCACGAAAAUUGGCUUCCUUUUGUUCAAAUAAAAAUAAAUCCAGAUCGUACUAUUAUUACAUAAUACAGUAAUAAAAUAUGAACUAGGUUAUUAUACUAUUAAUAGCACUAAGUUAUUGGUGCUAUUAGGGUUUCUUCCAUUGGAUGAAGAGAUAUAGGGUUAGAAUAAUAGUAGUCUUCUAAGGCUGAGUGGAUGGUUUGUUGAAUAGUAUGAUCUGACGGAUGAAAAUGAUCAAAUGGGUAGACCUAACGGCGAAAAACUGUAGCACCAAGAGGAGUAAACUUGUAAUUUAAAUAAUUAUUACUCGCCAGCAGUAAUACGAGAUACCCACUCUUCAUUCGGUAAUAUUUUCGGAGUAAUCUUACAUCAUUUAUAAUGCUAAUUUGCCAAUUAUAUUAUAAACUGGAUGACCCAAAUAUAAUAAUCUUGACAAAAAUACCUAUAGUUCUGACAAGAUAAUCCGAACCAAAUAAGCCCUUUUUAAAUUAUGAAAGUGAUAAAUUUUGUUAAUAAGAGAAGGUCUAUAUGAAUGCGGCCUACGCGCACUGGACGCGAGUUCUGAAAUUAAAAUAAAAAAAAAAAGAACGCGGAGAGGACUCCCGUGACUCAGGCACUGGUUUACUUCCGUACAUGAAAAUUAUAAAUAAUAUUUGGAAAUUACUAUUUUAAAAUUAAAAUCUAAUUAAUAUAUAUUUGAUUUAUAGUAUUUAAAAGGAGGUUUUUUAUAAACAAUCCAAGGAAGUUUUAUAAUUACAAAAAUAUUCUUCUACAAAAAUUACUUAUAAAAGUAGGCCUCUAAUAUGCCAGUGAGAUAGUCCGCUGAUAAAAUAUUGAAAGUUGUAAAUAAUUUAUCAUAUUUAAAAGCAGUCAAGUAUUUGUGAAACAACCGUUGUACUCUAAAAGCUUAAGCUGCUAGAGAACGAUAUUGAUAUAUUUUUAUAUUUAACACUCUCCCUUACGUCUGGGUUCGAAACUUUUUUAGUCGGUUCAUGACGUAGGCUUGAAUUAAAUGGAAGGAAAUUAAUAUGCUAAGAGCCUGGCGUGAUUCGAACUCAGGACUUCCUGCUCUGAUACCAUGUAGGAAGUUGAAAUUAGUGAAAAAAUGAUUGUUGUUCUCGAUGAAGAACACACAAAAUCAACUUUCAAUAUAUACAAUUAUUGAAUACAAAAUAUAAUCCCAUUAUUCUUGGGAUUACAACAUUUACAUAAUUACAUUCUAAAAAUGUACAAUAUUUGAAUCCAAAUAUUUUCUAUUUGGAGUGGUUGCCAUACUUGAGAGAUUGCCAUUCUUGAGUUUUCACAAUUGCUUAUAAUUUGAAUACUUGUCAAAGUUUACAAUUGCUUAUAAUUUGAAUACUUGAGUUUCCACUAAUUACAACUUCCUUCAGUAUUUACCGUCGAUAAAAGCAGUGAAUAUAGAGUUAACCGCCUUUAGUGUACUUUUUUUUUACUGGUUUGUGGAAAGUAUUUAAAAAUGAUAAAUAGUUUAUCGCUUUUAGAAAAUUGUUUUAAGUUUUAAACGCACUGAACCAUUCACCGCUUUCUAAAAUGUAGCGAAUUAAUGCUUCAACCCCUUUCUUUAUGUCCUCGCCACGCUGGCACCCAUCUAACUAGUUGAGGUCUAUUUUUGCAUAUAAAAAAUUGGGGCAGUUGCCUAUAUACCCCUGAAAAGUUUUCGGUUUUCUUAUUUACCACUCUUAAAAGGCUAAUAUUGAAAAUACCCAUUCUUAUGUGCCAAGUCUUUCUAAUAUAUCCCUGAAGUUAAGUUCCGUUAGUGAACUGCCGUUAUCUCUGAAAAAUUAUUAUUUUGCCCAUUUCAAUAUACCCUUAUACCGUAACUAAUUUUUUUUAUAUAUCCUUCAUAUAGCAAAUACUCUUUUUAUUUAUCCUUCAAAUAUUAAUUAAUUAAUUAAGCACAAUUAAUUAAGGGUAUAGUUAUCUUGGUGUUGGAGGCAUAGUUAAUUAAUUCGGAUUCGACAAAAAUUCGGUACGGAUAAAAUUCGGAUAAAAUUCGUCUUUUAAUUUUGAAAUUCGUUAAAAAAUAUGACUAAAAAACGGAUUCGGCAAUUAUUCGGAUACGUGAUUUAUACAGGUAUUACACGUUCACCAAUUAAAAAUUCGGGAUAAAAAAUUAGGCUAUAUAAUAAAUAUAUAAUAAUUAAUAUACUAUAUAUAUUAUUAUUAUAAUUUUUAUAUAUAGAUUAAAUAUAUUUAAAAUUAUAAUAAACAUAUAUUAAUAAUAUAUAAGAGUUAUAUAUUUAAAAAUAUUAAUAAACUCAAUUCUGUGCAGAUCUAAAGAAUAACUUAUUCCAAUUAAUCUUAGAUAAUUAACUCUCCCAUCCUAAUUAACUCUCUCAAUUAACUCUCCCAACUGUCUUCUCUAGUUAAUUGUCAAUUAACCCUUGUACAGCACCCCUCCUCGUCCCCUUCCUCCGGCACCGGCAGCACCCGCCUCGACCACCAUCGCCACUCCAAACCCCGAGGACCCUGCGCCUCUCUGAGAUCAUCCCAAAUAAAUUAAUAUUCAAAUAAACAAAUAAAUAAAUAAAUAUAUCACUACAUGAAGAACAAGAAGGCGAAAAUGGAGCCCCCAUGAACAUAAUGUAAGCUAUAUUUUGGUCGAUUAUUUUGAAAUUUUUGCUCUGUAACUCCUUUUCAGCUGCAUGAAUGAAAAGUGAAUUUCGUUUUUUUCUCUCUAAUCCGCAUUAUCUUAAUUUCAUUUAUGAUUCUAGUGAGGUGACCUGCUACAUUUUUACCAAGAACUAAACAGAAAAAAUGGUGAAUCAAAAUAAAACGAAAAAUCGCAUCGUUAUUAUUAGUACUAUUAAUUGUACCCGGACGAAGAUGGGGAUGAUGGAGGCGGCGGCGAGGAGUUCCCCGUGGUUCCUCCUCCGUCCAUCUCCUCUCUCUUUCUCUCUCUACACUCUCUUUCUUUCUCUCUCUUCUUUUUGGUGAGUGGUGGUCGUGUUUGUCUCCGUUUUGUCUUGAGGAGGAGGACGACGAGAGUGACGGAGGAGGAGGAUGACGAGAGCAAUGAGAGGGGUUGUGUUGGAGGUGGAGGUGUGGGAGGUGGUGGUGGUCUGGGAGGAGAUGAGGCAAGGUGGAGGCGGAGGAGCCAGUGUUCAAGUUGAAAGAGAAAGAGGAUAAUUUAAGAAAUUAGCAUAAUAAAGUAGGGGUAAAAUAGGUAUUUUAUAUAAAUUUUAACUCUAGUAUGUAUUUAAUCCAUGUUUAAUCCGAGUUAAGUUAACAGGAAAUAACUGCGGGAAUAUUUUGGAAUAACGGUGGAAUAUAUGAAGGGCAUUUUAAAAAAAAAAAAAAAGUAGGAAUAGAUCGAAUAUUUUCAGACGCAUGAGGGAUAUAUAGGCAAUUAUUCCUAAAAAAUUUGAAAGGUCUAGUUUUGGAAUAAAGUUUUAAUUUGAAGAGGGCCGGUGGCCUAAAAUACCCUUUUGAAAGUCAUGUAUGAUGGCCUAAAAUCAACUUCACACUAUACUAAUUUUUCUUUUCUUUUUUCUUUUUAUUUAUUUGUUGCGUGUACAUGCAUGCAUAAUUAAUAAAAAGAUUAUAUGCAUUAUGAUCUCAUGACGCUCAGAUCAUAGGCUCUCGUUAUUUUAUGGGAUAUGCUAAUUAUUUUACUCUUUAAGAUUGCACUAUUCAUUUCCAACAUACAAUUAAUAACUUAUUAAGUUGUCGCGCCAAACGGUCCAUAUACNUAUGAUCUCAUGACGCUCAGAUCAUAGGCUCUCUUUAUGUUAUAGGAUAUGCUAAUUAUUUUGCUCUUUAAAAUCGCACUAUUCAUUUCCAACAUACAAUUAAUAACUUAUUGAGUUGUCACGCCAAACGGUCCGUAAACUUCCCUAAAAAAAAAAAACACGAAAAAAGAGAGAAAAUCUUUUUUUUUUUAGUUUUUUAAUAUUUUUUUUUUGAAAAUGAGCCUGUAGGGCUCUUAAAUUAUAAAUAUUAUUGAUUAAUCUUUAGCUAAAAGUAUGUUCUUUGUUAGGAAGAGAACACAAUUAUUUGUGAAUUUCUUUGUUAUAUAACUUUGGGGAAAAUUUUUUGGAAUCUCUUUUAGUCAUAUGAUUAUGAAUCCACCAUAUAUAGUUAUUCCAAACAGAGCAUGUCAUAUAAUUGUGGUUAAAAUUAACCCUCAAUCGUGUCACAGGAUAUAUAAAGUUAUAGUUAGUUCUUAAAUUUAUCACUCCACAAAAUUAGGAACAAAAAUAUAGGCAAAAUCUUAAUUUACAUUAGCCUAUCCUAUCCUCCUUUUUUAAUAGAAUUUUUUUUUUAGAAUUAACGAAAGAAAUCAUGAUUCUGUUUGAUAAUAAGGAACGGAUCAGAUUCAAUAGAAUAAGAAAGGGAAUUAAGCAACGUUACAGAUAGGGGGUGUAGCCAUAUAAUAAUUCUAUUUCAUUAGAACCGACAAUAUAUAUUCGAACGACUCUGAAAUACUAAAUCUUUUUUAAUUGAGAGCCCUUACCUCUUAUAUAUAAUGCAUGGCUCCAGUGUAGAGUCUAAUUAGAAUUCAUGGUCCUAUAAAAUUUUUAAUUAAACUCUAUUUAUUUUUUAAUAAAUUUAAAUCUCAUUUUAUCCUAAUUAAAUUAGAAUUUGGCUUUAAUUAAAUAACCAUAAAUUUAAACCGAAAUCUAGUAAUAGAUUUUCUCACUAAUAUGUUAGAUAGCAAUAUUUGUGAAACUACCUCAUCUAUUUUCUCUAUUCUUAUCUCGUUAUAUAUAUAUUGUCAAGUCCUAUUUGUUUAGGAUUAACUCAACGGAGUUAAGAACUGACAUUUGCUUUUAUCUUUUUCUUCAAUUAUUUUUUUAAAAAUCUUUUUAAUGAGAGUAAAAUAUAGAAAACUCCACGUAAAUACUUAUUUUUUUACUUCCUCCACCAACUUUAAAAAAAUCUAUACUUUAUCUCUUCAAAAUUUCAAGUUGAUGUGUUUAAAUUCCCUACAUUAAGGUUCCGUCACUAUUCCGUCCAUUUCUUAUAAUUUAUAUUAAAAAAAAACCUUUAAAAUGGCAGAAAUUUUUUUUUUUUUUUUUAAAGAACAAGUAAGAAAAAUUUAAUCAUCUAUUCAUCUCCAUUCACGCCAAACAUUUCUGAGAUUUUAAGGGGAUAGAAUGUAGAUUUUUUAAAAGUUAGGAAGAAAACGUAAAAACAAAAAAAGAUAUUUAUAAGGGAAGGUUUUCUUUAUUUUAGCCAAUAGAAAAAGUUUUAAUAAGGAUACAAAUUAAGCAUUCUCCAAAUACAUAAUACAGUGGAGUAGUGGUUCUUCCGAAGGAAAAAUUCUAGAAUGCAACGGGUAUAUUGAUGACGUGAUAUAACAAGCCAAUCAAAUAUUUUUUUUUAGAGAUAUAUGUCCCAUCAUGAUUAUAAAAAAAUAUUUUUAUUAUACUUUUGUUUCAAAAGAAAAAAUGUGAUUGGCUUAUUAUUGAUGACGUGGUGCAAGUGUGAUAGUGUAGAAUUCCUCCUUCCGAAGACACCAACUCAUAUUUGAUAUUUCCACUUUUAUGUGCAUUAAUUACAAGUAAAAUAAAAUAUGCAGACAAGAUAACAUCUAUCCCUAGAUCAUCGUUUCCUUAAGUGUGGGUUGUCUAGGAGAUCCGAGGCGGAAAAUAUAGAAGCAUCAAGCUCGGUGGUUGGCAAUAAUUAAUUCAGCUACAUGAUGUGGAAUCACUGAAUCCUUUCUGUGACAAACUCGCCGUGUCGUUCGAACCAGAUGGUAAAAUUCGGGAUGUGGCGAACCCUCGUGCGCCAGUCAUUGCUGUGGUCGCCUUCUCCUCCUCCUCCUCCUCCUAGAAGCAGCUCAACAAGUUCCUCUGCUGGACGCCAAAUGUUUAAAUCUUGAAGGGUGGUAAGGUACUCGAUGCCGUGGGGCAGCUCCUUUAGCUCAGGGCAACCGCGUAGCUUAAGCGUAUUCAGGCUUGCCAUUGCUCCUCUUUCUAUUUCCACCUGACUGAGCUUCUGGGCACCUGAUAUGUACAAUUUCUUUAGCUUUGGGAAUGAUGUUGCUUGGAAGUGCAACUUCAUGCCGUCAUAUGCCCCACAAAGUUCGAGAAACAUCAACGCAGGCAGCGCUUGCAAGUAAGGAAAUGUAUCUUCAUCAAAUUUUGCCUCUGAAAGUGUUAAUCUGGUUAGGUUUGUAAGAGACCGAAAGGACGCGGCAAGCUCAGAGACUGAGGUUUUGUCUAAUUUACCCUGUAGAUAUAAACUUUGAAUUCGCAGAGGUAGGCGCAGGGUGUCCAAUUGCCGUAAUUCUUGCCCAGGUUCACUUUUGACAGAAAAAAAGCUAAGAUGGUUCAUCUUAGUGAUACUAUUCCACAAGUCUGCACAGUGAUGGGUUCUUACGCAGGUUAUCCCAAAUGUCCGCAACUCUGUCAAAGCUUCUACAUUCCGCACAAUCCUCCUAGUUGCUUUAAUAUAUCCUAAAGUCUGCAAGCCCUUCAAACGCCAUAUUCCAACCGGUGCCUUGAUGCCCCAGAAUAGUGUUGAAACUAGGUGUCUCAACUUUUGAAGCCUCGUUAUUCCCUUCGGAAGCUCCUUAAUUCCUGUUGCCCGCAAGCCUAGAUAAUGCAGGUUGAAUAGGUUACAGAUCUCACUUGGUAGUUUCUCGAUUAGUGCUCCAUCUAGUUCCAAAACACGUAAGAAUUUUGAUGAUCUUAAGACCGACUUAAGUAGAUCAUAGCUCAUGGAAUAGUUGAAAAUAAGUACUGAACGCAAAUGCGAUUUGUCUUCAGUAAAAUAAUUAGUUAUAUUGCUUAGAACUGACAAGCGGCGUGCUUUGGAUCUCUGCAAUAUUGUCCGUGAAUGCUCGUAAACCAUGCAGAAGCUUAACUCCUUUGACUUCGAAAGAGCGAGGACUCGAAUGAUGUCAUGCAUUCGACAUGCAUGAAUGCUUCCGUCUUCGUUCCUCUCGGCCACUUGUAGUAGACACCGAUGAACAAGUUCAUUAAGGUAGUCCUCGGCCACUUCCUCCAUCAUUCUUUCUCUUUCUUCAAUGAAACCCUCUGCCAUCCAGAGCCUUAUGAGCUUGUUACUCGCAAUUCGAUAAUCUUCCGGAAAACUAGAACAAUAUAAGAAGCAAUUUCGAAGGUAAUGGGGAAGAUCGUCCAAACUAAGUUUCAAAAUGUCAUGUACUUUUUCAUGGAGCUUCGAUUCGUUGUUAGUUAGAUACCACUCAAGAUCUUUGUAAACCUUCUCCCACUCAGAAUCAGUUUGUUCUCGAAAUGAUAAGAGACGGGCUAUAGAUACGAUAGCAAGGGGCAAGCCACCGCACUUCUCGACAAUUUUUUUAGCACAUUGUUCUAAAGGCGGUGGGCAAAUCUUGUUUGCACUUUUCCAAAAUGUGUUUUUACAAAACAGAUCCCACGAAUGAUCUGCCUCCAGUGGCUUUAGCUCAAACAUACGGUUCUCGUUUGCUAAUAGAGCUACAUCGCGAAUCCUUGUUGUGAGAACUAUUCUACUCUUGCAAUUACUAUUCAGAAGUGCAUCUUUUAUAUUGUCCAUUACAUUAGUACUCCAAACAUCAUCCAAAAUGAGUAAAUACUUUCUACACUGCAAGUGAGUGCGGAUAGUCUCAACCAAGCUUCUAUAAUCCAGGGUAUCAUUGUUGUUAGGUGCUUUCCUUUUCUCACGACCUUCCCUACAUAACUCUUUUAAGAUCUGUCUAAGCAAAUCAUGAGUUUCGUAACUCUGAGAUACAGCAACCCAGGCACAAGCAUCAAAGGUAGCUUUGAUGAUUUUGUACACAUGAGUUACGAGAGUUGUCUUCCCUAGACCACCCAUCCCCAAUACUGAGAUUAUCAUGGGCUGUUGUUGCUGCUCAUCCUCAUCUUUUAACCAUCCAAGCAACAAGUCCCUGUACUUGUCAAUACCCACGAUGUCAUCCUCCUUGACAAAAUGUGCUAAUUCUGCACGACUCUUGCUACAGCCAACAACUAUUCGAGGUUUUGCUUCACUUUCCAUUCCUCUUGUAUCAUAUCGUGUCCUUCUCUCCAUUAUCUUUUGGAGGUCAAUUUUGAUAUCUUUAAGUUUCUUGCUAAGGUGAUGCCAAGAUUUUAUAUUUCUGUACCUCUUGAUUGCUGUCAGUAGAACCCCUCAUUGCUCCUCGCUCAGCUUAUACGUGAACUCAUCUAUAAUAUCCUCAAUGUCGAAAGCCAAGUCUCUUGUUUGUUUUAUAAUGAUUUUUGUGCUCUCAUCCUUCUCUUUUAGUCUUUCUGCGAUCCGUAGGAAGGCUUGCAUGAUCUCAAGCUCAUCCUUAAUGUCACUUAUAUCCUUCAUGAGUUCUUUCAUUGCUAACAUCCCUGUUAGUAAUAGUGAUGCUGCUGAUUUAGUUGUUUCAAUAGCUAAAGCAGCACCUAUCUUUAGGACUAAUGAGCUUAUCACAGCCUCCACCAUAGGAAUUUCCUACAAAGUGAGCCUGGAAUCAAUAAUCUUUCCAAACUACUAUGUCUUUUUAGAUGCACCGCUAGCAAAAAUAAUUAUUGUUUUAACAUUCCUAAGAUUCUAGGCAAUUCUGUAGUGUAUCAAACAAACAUUUGUUAGAAUCCCUCAGUUAAAAGGAAGAAAUGCCAGUAACAGUUUGUAGUCUGUCAUAACAAAGAACAAUAACUUGUUUGAGAUUCAAUUUAACAAAAUUUUGAGAUAAAAGAUUCAUCAUAAUUAGUCAUACUGAACUCGACCUCAAUGUAUAUUUCUAGAGCAAGUUGUGGAAAAGUCCUUUAGAGGAGUGUGAAAUCAAUAAAGAGUUGGAAACUAAAUGAAUCUACUGCUAGUCGCCGAGUUGACGAUAUCGUGUUAAGAGUGAUUAUAAAUUAUUCUACAAUUAACAAUUAUAAGUUGAGUUUGUUUUGAAGCCCUCUUCUUGUUCAUAAUUAAGUUAAUUUAUAUCAGGACUAUAAGUCAUUUGAGCAAGAAACUAUUAGUGCUUCUUCAAAUAGUUUUGUUUUGAUAGCAAUAUAAGAACUUAAUUUUAGACUCAUGAAACUCACGUAUUUCUAAUAUGUUAAAUUUUAUUGCCUCGACAUUCAUAGUUUCAUACUGCCUAUUAUUGGACCAAAAUCUAAAAGUUCUAUUUCAACUUCUGUGAUUACAAACUUUUGAGAUAAAUGAUUCAUUAUAACUAAUCAUACUGGACUCAACCUUAAUGUAUAUUUGUAGAGCAAGAUGUGGAAAAGUCCUUUAGAGGUGUAUGAAAUCAAUAUAGAGUUGGAAAGUAAAUGAAUUUGCUGCUAGUCAGUGAGUAGAGGGAAUUGUAUUAAGAGUGAUUGUAAAUUAUUCUAUAAUUAACAAUUAUAAAUCGAGUUUCUUUUGAAGCCUCUUUCUUGUUCAUAAUUAAGUUAAUAUAUAUGAGGACUAUAAAUCAUUUGAGCAAGAAACUAUAUAUUAGUGCUUCUUCAAAUAGUUUUGUUUUGAUAGCAAUAUAAGAACUUAAUUUUAGACUCACGAAACUCCCGUAUUUCUAAUAUGUUAUGUUUUAUUGCUUCGACAUUCAUACUGCCAAUUAUUGGAUCAGAAUCUAAAAGUUCUAUUUUAACUUUUUUGAUUUGUAUAAACGAAGCGGGUAGUGUGCUACCUAUCUCUCUCUCUCUCUCUCUCUCAAAANAAAAAAAAAAAAAAAAAAAAAAAAGAUUUGUACUGCAAUUUGUAAAAGUUCUUCAUUACAAGUUUUGGCAUUAACUGAAUUUUUUUUUUCGAAAUAAUUAUUAUCUUUGUGAGUUCAGCAGGAAUAUUUCUUAAAGUGAAAUGACUUUGAUACUUUUUUUUUUUGAUGAUGAGGCAUUUAAAUAAACGUCCUGUAUCGUAAAUAUGAUCUAGAAUAUUUGCAUGGUUUAGAAACUGAAUUUUUUUUUUUUUUUUGUCGUUAUUAUUUAUCUAGUGAUCGAAUGGUUUCAAAAUUGAGAGUUUAACAAGAAAAAUGGGACACUUUCUUCUUGUUUAAUAACAAAGAACAAUCAGAAUUAGCUGAGCAUUUAAUAACAAAUAAAUUCUUCUUAACUAUAUAGAUCAAGAUCUACAACCAAGAUUGCGAAUUUAAGAUUAUUUUUAAUUAUAUUUUUAGAAGGUAGCUAAUUUUGACCUUUCAUAUUAUGCCCACUUGGCUAGCCAGAAAAUAAAUUUAAAAAAUCACUUUUUCUAGAAAGUUUAUGUAUAAUCUUGCAUGGUAUUGAUCAUCAAUUUAGGUACUCAAUUAUCAACAAUAAAGUGAGAGUACUUUAUGAGGUAAAAUUAUUCUAGCUAGCUCAAUUAUUAUCGAUCUCUUGUUAUCUUGUUUCCAAAAUCAAGUGAAUCCAAACAAUAUAUUAAACAGCAAAGCUAGACAUACUAUACUAGAUCUCAGUACCUUACGGAAUCAACUAGUUGAUAGCAAAGAGAAUAAAAAUUAAUUAAAAAGAACAAGUAGAAGAAGAUGCACAACUAACCACAGAUCCAAAAGGGAGAUAUAUUGAAGAGGGAGCUGCUCCAAAAUAAUUAAUCUGAAAUUUAACUAGAGAAAAUGCUGCAAUCAAAGAAGCGCUUGAAGUAGAUGUUUUAGGGAUUGAUGAGUGAGAGAUGAGGAUGAACUAUAUACACAAGAAACUGGGAGGAAGUGACUUGGACACUGCAGCUACCAAGAACUUCCCUCUUUGACUUUUCCCAUCCGUACUUGGUUGUAGUGUGCUAUAUUAUAUGGAUUUAUAGGGGCUCCUUUUGAUUAUUUGCCUUUUACUACUAUUCAAAUUUUUUAAAUUUAUUCUAAAAUUACUAAAAUACCUAUUUAAAGUCUAAUCUCAUUAAUAAAUGGCCUUUUUGCAUAAAAAAUCAACUAGUCUCGAGAUUUUGUAAAAGUGUGCUACUAUUUUGAAUUUUACAAAUUCAACUCGAAUUUGUAGAAAACUGAUCAAAAUAUUCUUAUUCCUUUUCCUCUCUCUCUCUCUCUCUCUCUCUCUCUCUCUCUCUCACUCUCUUUUUCUCUCCAACCCUCCUCGCCUCCUCCACCGCUUCUGCGACCCUGGACGACGGUAAGAAGGACGUUGCCGCCUCCUCUUUCUCUGCCUCCGCCACCGUCUCCGCCACUGCUGGUGCCGGCACCGACACCGGCGCUGAAGGAGGAGGAAUUGGAGCAGGCGCGGGUGAGGACGGAGCAAACGAAGGCGAUGAGUUCGUGGCCGAGGUGGUGCUCGCUGUCGCACGUGAUGGUGAGAACGAAGAUGUGCCAGCGCUUCUCCAAGGAGCAAAAAAAGAUGCAGAGGGUAGAAAAAAAAAAGAAUAAAAAUAAAAAUUAAAAAAUAUAUUUUUCUUGAAGGACCAUUAUGUAUCAUCGCUACUACAGGAAAGAUAAAGAAUCAGAGAAGAAGGAAAAAAGAAUAUCAAGUUGCACUGUACUUUUUUGAAACGAAAGUUAUACUUUUUAAGCAAAGUUAUAUUGUUUAAGCGAAAAUUGUACUCUAUAGCCUCCUCGUUGUGGAGGCCUACUGCCUGAUUAUCGUUUUGAAGCGGCCCCUCCUGGCCUUCCUCCUCGCGUUCAUCCGCUCCUCCGGGGCUCCUACCCGCUCAAUCAAGGACGGGCUCAAGGCGCUCUUUGGCGUUGCACUCUACGUGCUCAACCUCUCUGUGUUGGUCAAGCUCGGCACCAUGCCCGCGCUCUUCUCCUUUGUCGUCAUUCUGCAUUCGUCGCGCUCUACCCGCUCAACUGUCCCUUGCUGGCCGAGCUCAGCGCUAUGCACGCACUUUUCUCCCAUGUCGUCAUUCUGCAUUUGUCGCACUCUACCUGCUCAACUGCCUCCCGUUGGUCAAGCUCGGCAUCGUGCCCGCGCUUUUCUCCCUCGUCGUCAUUAUGCAUUCGAAAAGUUUUAGUAUGUUGUUAUAUAAUUUUAUAUUUUGUUUUAGGGUAAAUUACACUUUUGGUCCUCAAACUAUGAGGUACGUGACAUUUUAGUUCUGAAAUUUUAAUUUAUUAUAAUUUUUGGCUCGAAUUAUGCGAUACAUUACAUUUUAGUCCUCGAACUUUAAUUAGGUAUAAUAUCUGGCUCGACCUUUAAGACUUGUGAUAUUUUAGUUCUUGAACUUGUUGAAUUAUUAUUCUCACAGCCAAAUUUUUUUAAAAAAUAAGUAUGGAUAAAUUAUUUAUAUUCAACUAAUAUAGUAUUUUAAUUGUUAUUACAUCAUCAAGGACGAUAUACUACAAUUCAGAAAGUUCGAGAACUAAAAUAUCACAUGCUUAUAAUUUAAGCUAGAAAUUAUAACUAAUUAAAAUUUGAGGACAAAAGUAUCACUGACCUUAUAGUUCGAACGACAAGUUAUAACAAAUUAAACUUUGAGGACGAAAGUGUCACGCGUCUCAUGGUUUGGAGGCGAAAAGUGUAAUUUACCGUUUGUUUUACCAUAAAAAAUUAUUAUUAAAUAGAAUAGUAAAAUAUUAUAAUUCACAAAUUAUACAAAAUGCUAAAUUUUGUAGGUCAGAUUAUGUAAAAUAUGCGCUGACGCGCUUUCGCUGCUGAGUCCUGAAAUAUUGUUAAAAUCAAAGAAUAAAAAAAGGACGCGGAGAAGACUCGCAUGACCCACGCGAGGCGUCUCCGCGUAGGGACCGAGUGAUGCUACCAGCUAUGAACAUAUACUCCCUGCACCUGGUGUACUUCUAUAUAUAUAUAUAUAUAUAUAUAUAUAUAUAUAUAUAUAUAUAUAUAUAAUAUUUGGUAAUCAAUAUUUUAAAAUUAAGAAAGGAGCUGGGAGACAAUGUACUUUAUAUCAGGGAUAGGUGGAUGGUUAUGAAAGGAUUGCAGAAUACGAGGCGUAGCCUUCGUGAAUUGGCUGCGCGCUGGUGGGUUAUUUGGAAGGCUAGAAACGAUUUGAUUUUUAAAAACAUCCAACUAGAUGCCCUAGUGGCGGUGUAUAGAUUGAAGGAGUUGCUGAAAUUCUGGAAAAUAUGUGCACAAACUUCUAGACGCUCUAUCAUCGUGUGAUUUUUUUUUUCUCUGUUACGCCCCUCUUUUGAGGCUCUGGAUGCCUCAUCCCGGUAGCCUAAUUCAUCUCUUUAAUGAAUGAGCAGGUAGCGUGCUAUCUUUUCUCCAAAAAAAAAUAUUUUAAAAUUAAGAUCUAAUAAUUUUGUUGAUAGUUAAUAGAAAUUCCGAGCACAUAGUAAUUAAUGACUUUGGAAAUUCGUAAUUUCGUGCUCAAAACUCCAAUUUCGAUAAAAUUUGGUUUAAUUAGAUGAUCGUCUCAGAGUAUAUUUUGUAUAGCAGGACUUUUCGUUUUUGAAAGUUAUGAAAAAUAUUACAUAAAAUAAUGACUUGAUUGAGAGAUGAUUGUCUUUUUCUGAAUCUCAUAGAUUUUAUCAAAGAAAUUUUAAAUCCACCAAAAAUGCACCAAGUUAACAACUAGACCUUACAAAUAAGCGCCCACGAGUAUUAAAAACCCUCGGGAGCUAAGAAAAAUAAAUUCACUAAAAUUGACUUCCUUUUGUUCAAAUAAAAAUAAAUCCAGAUCGCGCCAUUAUUACAAAAUAGAGUAAUAAAAUACGAAAUAGGCUAUUGUACUAUUCAUAGCACCAAGUUAUUGGUGUUGUUAGAAUUUCGGCAUGGCUGAAUAGAUGUAGAGUUAGAAUAAUAGUGGUCUCAAAGGGUUGAAUGGAUGGUUUGUUGAAUAGUAUGGUCUAACGGGUGAAAAUAAUCAAAUGGGUGGAUCUAACGGCGAAAAACUUGGUAGCACCAACGGAGGGGGUAAACUUGUAAUUUAAAUAAUUGCAAGAUUACCUGCCAGCAGUAAUACGAGAUACUCUCAUUUGCUAAUAUUUUCGGAGUAAUCUUAUAUCAUUUGUAAUGCUAAUUUGCCAAUUAGAUUAUAGACGGGAUAACCCAAAUAUAAUAAUCUUGACAAAAUUAUCUAUAAUUCUGACAGGAUAAUCCGAACUAGAUAGACCCUUUUUAAAUUAUGAAAGUGAUAAAUUUUGUUAAUGUUGGGAUCAAAAAAUUUUAAAAUUUAAAAUUCAAAUUGAGAAUAAAAUUUAACGCAGGCGGCGCUUGCAGGUAAGGAAAUGUAUCUUCAUCCAAUUCUGACUCAAAAAGUUCUAAUUUGGUUAGGUUUGAUAGAGACCCAAAGGAUGCGGCAAGCUCAGGGAAUGAGGUUUUGUCUAAUUUACAGUCCAGCCAUAAUUCUUUAAUUGGCAGAGGUAGGCGUAGGGUGCCCAACUGCUGUAAUUCUUGCCCAAAUACACUUUCGACAGAUAAAUUGCUAAGAUGGUUCAUCUUUGUAAGACUAUUCCACAAGUCUGCACAGUGAUGGGUUCUUACGCCGGUUAUCGCAAAUGUCCGCAACUCGGUCAAAGCUUCUACAUUCCGCACAAUCUUCCUAGUUGCUUCAAUAGAUCCUAAAGUCUGCAAGCCCUUCAAGCGCCAUAUUCCAACAGGUGCCUUGAUGCCCUGGCCAACAUAUUCUGAUAAAACUAGGUGUCCCAACUUAUGAAGCCUCGUUAUUCCCUUCAGCAGCUUUCCUAUUUCACUUUCAUCUGUAUUUAAUAUUUGCAGAUUUUGUAGCUUCCCGAUUGAUCUUGGAAGCUCCUUAAUUUUUGUUUCUCACAAACCAAGAUAAUGCAGGUUGAAGAGGUUACAGAUUUCACUCGGAACUUUCUCAAUUGGCGCUCCUUGUAGUUCCAAGACACGUAAAAAUUUUGAUGAUCUUAAGACCGACUUCAGUAAAUCAUUCCUCAUGGAAUUGUUGAAAACAAGUACUGAACGCAAAUGAGAUUUGUCUUCAGUACAAUAUUCAGUUAUAUCGCUUAGGAUUGACAAGCGUCGUGCUUUGUAUCCCUGCAAUAUUGUCCUUGAAUGCUCACAAACCAUGCAGAAACUUAACUCCUUUGACUCCGAACGAGCGAGGACUCGAAUGAUGUCAUGCAUUCGAUAUGCAUAAACUCUACCAACUUCGUUCCACUCAGCCACUUGUAGUAGACAGCGAUGAACAAGUUCGUUAAGGUAGUCCUCGGCCACUUCCUCCAUCAUUCGUUCUCUUUCUUCAAUGAACCCUUCAGCCACCCAAAGCCUUAUGAGCCUGUCACUUUCAAUUGUAUAGUCUUCCGGAAAGCUUGAACAAUAUAAGAAGCAGUUUUGAAGGUAAUGGGGAAGAUCGUCCAAACUAAGUUUCAAAAUGUCAUGUACUUUGCCAUGGAGCUUCGAUUCGUUGUUAGUUAGAUACCACUCAAGAUCUUUGUAAACCUUCUCCCAUUCAGAACUGGUUUGUUCUCGAAAUGAUAAGAGACGAGCUAUAGAUACGAUAGCAAGGGGCAAGGCACCGCACUUCUCGACAAUUCUUUUAGCACAUUGUUCUAAAGGCGGUGGGCAAAUCUUGUUUGCACUUUUCCAAAAUGCGUUUUUACAAAACAGAUCCCACGAAUCAUCUGCUUGCAGUGGCUUUAGCUCAAACAUAUGAUUCUCGUUUGCUAAUAGAGCUACAUCGCGAAUCCUUGUUGUGAGAACUAUUCUACUCUUGCUAUUACUAUUCAGAAGUGCAUUCUUUAUAUUGUCCAGUACAUCAGUACUCCAAACAUCAUCUAGAAUGAGUACAUACUUUUUACACUGCAAGUAAGUGCGGAUUUCCUCAACCAAGCUUCUAUAAUCCAUGGUAUCAAUGUUGUUAGGUACUUCUCUUUUCUCAGCUAAGCUUCUUUUAUCCAUGGUAUCAAUGUUGUUAGGUACUUCUCUUUUCUUACGAUCUUCCCUAUGAAACUCUUUAAGAUUUGUCUAAGCAAAUCAUGAGUCUCAUAACUUUGAGAUACAGCAACCCAAGCACAAGCAUCAAAGGAAGCUUUGAUGAUAUUGUACACAUGAGUCACGAGAGUGGUCUUCCCUAGACCACCCAUCCCCAACACUGAGAUUAUCAUGGGCUGUCGUUGCUGCUCAUCCUCAUCUUUCAACCAUUCGAGCAACAAGUCCCUGUACUUGUCAAUACCCACGAUAUCAUCCUCCUCGACAAAAUGUGCUAAUUCUGCACAGCUCUUGCUACUGCCAACAGCUAUUUGAGGUUUUGCUUCACUUUCCAUUCCUCUUGUAUCAUAUCGUGUCCUUCUCUCCAUAAUGUUUUGGAGCUUAAUUUUGAUCUCUUUAAGUUUGCUGCUAAGGUCGUCCCAUGUUUUUAUAUUUCUGCACCUCUUGAUUGCUCUGGGUAGAACCCCUCCUUGCUCCUCACCCAGCUUGUACGUGAACUCAUCUAUAAUAUCCUCAAUGUCGAAAGCCAAGUCUCUUGUUUGUUUUAUGAAGGUUUUUGUGCUCUCAUCCUUCUCUUUUAAUCUUUCUGCGAUCCGUAGGAAGGAUAGCAUGCUCUCAAGCUCAUCCUUAAUCUCACUUAUAUCCUUCAUGAGUUCUUUCAUUGGUGAUAUCCGUGUUAGUAACAGUGCUGCUGCUGAUUUAGUUGCUUCACUAGCUAAGGUAGCACCGAUCUUCAGGACUAAUGAGCUUAUUACAGCCUCCGCCAUGAGGCUUCCUCCGAAGUGAGCCUGAAAUAAACGAUCUUUUCAAAUUACCAUGUCUCUCCAAAUGAAACACUACCAAAAUGAUGAUUUUUUAAUGCUCUUAUGAGUCUUGGCGAUUUUCAUAAAGAACAUGUUACUGUCUCAACCAAAAUAACUCUAGUGCACCAAACAAACAUUUGUUACAAUUAAUCCUCAGUUAAAACUAAGAAACACUAGUAACAACAUUGUAGUCUGUGAGAACAAAAAGCAAUAACUUGGUUGAGAAUUAGUUUAACAAAUUUUUGAGAUAAAAGAUUCAUUAUAACUAGUCAUACUAUCUCCUACAUGACCUCGAUGUUUAUUUGCAGAGCAAGAUGCCGAAAAGUCCUUUAGAAAAGUAUGAAAUCAAUAAAGAGUUGGCAAAUAAAUGAACCUGCUGCUAGUCACUGAAUAGUGGGUAUUGUAUUAAGGGUGAUUGUAAAUUAUUCCAGAAUUAACAAUUAUAAAUCUGAGUUUUCCUUGAAGCCCUCUCCUUGUUCAUUAAUAAGGCAAUAGCAGGGCUAUCUAUACAAGUCUCAUUUGAGCAAGAAACAAUUAGUGCUCCUUCAAAUAUAUAGUUUUGCGUUAAUAGAAAUAUAAGAACUUAAUUUUAGACUCAUGAACUCUCGUAUUUCUAAUAUAUUAAAUUUCAUUGCCUCGGCAUUCACGCUGCCUAUUGUCCGACCAGAAUCUAAAAAGUUCUAUUUUAACUUCUUUGAUUUGUGCUGCAAUUUGUAAUAUGUUGUAGAAGGUCAUCUCAUUUUACUUUAGCAAGUUUAAAUAUAUCCAGUAUAUAUCCACUAUGUAUGCUAUCCAGUAUCCACUAUGUACAUUACUACAUUUCUCUAUGAUAUAUAUUUAUGGUCUAUAUAAUUAACUAAGAAAUCACAGUGGCUAUUGGUCUUGUUUCCCAAAAGCUUGAUCUAACAGUAAUCUAUUAAAGGCUUAAGAUCUUUUACUCAUUUACAUGUUGAAGGUCUAGCAAGUGAUGCCAAUAUGCCAGUAGAAGAUGAAAAUAGAAAAGACAAACAAACUAAAUUUAAAUAUCAUGCAUUGCAUUAAACUGCAGAUAUAUAUUAGUUGAGCUUUUGAUGAUAAAUAAAAUUCUCUCAACUAUCUAUAUCAAGAUCUACAAUUAAACAAGAUGGUGAAUUUAAGAAUUUUUUAAAAUUUUAUUUUUAGAAGGUUGCUUAUGUUGACCAUUCAUUUUGCUCAAGUUCUUAUUCUAGCUCAAUUAUUAUCUCUUGUUAAUCUUGUUUCCAAAGAUCAAUUGAAUCCAAACAUUACACAACAGUGACACACUAUACUCUCAUUGCUUUAUUAGAGAAUUAAGCUAGUUGAUAGCAAAGAGAAUCAAAAGCAAGAACCCUUGGAACAUACAUAAAAAUGAAUUAAAAAAGAAUAAGUGGAAGAAGCACAACUAACCAACGACGGAUUUAGAAAGGAGAUUAAUUUGAAGAUCAGGGGGCUGCUCCAAAAUAGCCUCAAAUUUUGCCCGAGAAAAUGCUGCGAUCAAAUUACUGGGAGCAGAUGAAAGGAUACAUUAACGCUAGCUGGAGCCACCAAGAAACUUCCCUCCUGCCCGGCCUUCUCGACCAGCAGCAUUUUGUAGGCAAUAAGAAGCCAUUAAAAAACUAGAGAGUCGAUGGGUACACGGAUACCCAAAAGUUUGUCCCAACUCAAAAUUUGAAUGGAAUCAAUUUAUCCGGUUUCGAAUGUGAAUAUUAAAAAUAAAAGACCGACGGAUAUAUAUAUAUGGUUUUGGAUAUGGAUUUUGUUCGAACCUGACCUGAACCCCAUCUUCCGUCUUUAAUUCUAAUCAUCCAUCAAAUUUGAUAGAUAGUUAGUAAGUUAGGAGCACAAGAUCUGCUGUGCUCCUAAUAGCACAGUAGUACUGCUCUCUAUAUAUAUNUAUAUAUAUAUAUAUAUAUAUAUAUAUAUAUAUAUAUUUGAUCUUAUAUUCGAAUUUAUAUUUUAAAAAUUUAGAUUUAAUAUAGUAUAUCUUGAAAUAUGAUAAAGAGAAAUAAUUAUUUUAGGUUCAGUUUUUCGGAUUUUUUUUUAUAGGAUUUGGAGUUUGGAUAUAAAUUUUUAAAAUUUAUCGGAUUCGGUGUUGGAUUCAAGUUUUUGGUUUGGUAGUCGAGUUCGGAUUCUGUUUUUUGAAAACCCAUUCGGAAUCUGAUCUGUGGACAUUUCUAUUAAAAACACUUCGCACUGUGGUUUAGGAAAAAUUCUAGAAUGCAACAGAUAUAUUGGUGACAUGGUAUAACAAAUUAAUCAAAAAUCUUCUUUAGAAAUAUAUGUCCCAUCAUGAUUAUAAAAAAAUAUUUUUAUUAUAUUUUUAUUUUAAAAAAUAUAUAUAAUUGACUUAUUAUUAAUGAUGUGGUGUAAGUGUGGUAGUACUGAAUUCCUCAUGGUUUAGACAAGUCGGCUUCAUAAUAGAAAUUUUAAUAUUGAUUAAAAAUUGCUUCACACUGGUUACUGGUACCUUUGCACAUGGCCCCACAUGGGUAGUUCUCAGAUCAGCUUCAGUAUAGAAUUUUAAAUAUUGAUAAAAUAUUGCUUCACACUGGUAUCUUCGCACAUGAUCACCCACCACAUGGGUUGUUCUCAGAUCAGCUACAUAUAGAAAUUUUAAUAUUGAUAAAAAAUAGCUUAUUAAUUCACAUGCUUGCUAGGUCAGCAAUAAAGUUGGUUGUUUUUCUGUGCAAGUUUUUACGCAUACUCUAUGUUUAAUUGGAGAUUUGAUCUUGGGUUAACGCUACAUAGCGGAUGAUGCAAGCCUAAUUAAGUCAUGUUGAGAGGGAAGAAGUAUAAGGACGAAAAGAGAGUGAUACACGAAAAAUUAUGUCACACCUCAAUAAUCUCACAUCGGAUAGAAAUUGGGAUGUAAUUGAGUAUAUAAGAGACUUAGACACUAAUAAUAAUAACUGAGUUUAAGCAUUUAGGUCGGUGGUUGGGCCUAAUGAAUUAUUAUUGCUAGUGAGUUGGAUCGUUAUAUUUGGUAUUAAAGUCAGUUCACCAACCUUCACCAGUCGAAAAUAUGUGGCGAGUCCAGCCUUCACUAGUCGAAAAUGUGUGGCGAGUCUCGACUGAGACAAGAUCUGAAAGACAAAGUAAUAUACUAUGCCGAGGUCUGAAAGAUAAAGUAAUAUACAAUACCGGAGUCUGUAUGACAAGAUAACCGGCUACACCAGAGUCCAGAGCCUGGAUGGCAAGAUUAGUGAGACGAGUCUCACUAGUGAGCUAGGUCGUUUACAAAUUAAUUUUUCGACAAAGGUGAAAAUAUUAUUAAUCAAAUCUAAAAAUUUAUUACAUUAAUCGAACACCACGUUUAUAUACAUAGAGGCCAUACUCAAAUCCUACUAGAAGAAAAUAAUAAAUUUUAAUGUAUCUCUAAAUUUAAUCAUAUUAGAAAUAAUCAAAUAAUUGGACUAAAAAUAGGAAAAGUAGGAAAGUACUAAACCUUUCAAAAAUAGCCUAAACAUAUAAAAAUAAAAGCUGAAACAAUUGAAUUUGGGUCCCAAACUUGACCCUAACGGCUUUGUCGUUUGAUACGUAAAUCUCAAAAAGUAUUUUUCGAUUUAGAAUUACACGCUAAAAUCAAAUAGUUGAAUGAAAAGUUAUGACUGUUUAAAAAUUUUCUUUGCCGAUAAAAAAAAAAUUAUCAAAUUCAGCAAAAUUUGAAAAUUUCAACUCAGCUUGGUUGAGCCAUAUUUUUUUCAUGAACUCUGGCCGCAUCAAUGGACCUAUAUAUAUAAGAGAAAAAUAUUGAUUCAAAGUUAUUUACUCCAAUUUCUGGAGGGAAAUAGCAAAUGCAAAUUUCUCUCGCUCGCUCUCUCCUAGCAUAAAUUUAAUUGUUUAUUUUUGAAGACAUUUUUUUUCUUUUUAAAGUCAUUUUUUCCUUUUAUUUUUUUCUAACUUUCAAAAAUUUAUAUGUUGUUUUUUUAAAAUUUUAAAAAUAUUUUCAGGAGAUACGAUAUUAAUGGAGAGGGCAAAAUAAUCAAAUUAUUUUUUUUAUAAAAAAUAAUUUUUAAUAUAUUUUUAUUAUUUUGUAGGGUAUUUUUGAUAUAAAUUAUAAAAAAUUGAUGAGAUAGUGAUGGAAUCCCAACGGAAUGGGCUAAAGAUAAUAAUUUUGUAUAUAAGGAGGUUUUUUAAAUACAAUAACUUGAAAUAUUAAGAGAACAAAGUAUAGAUUUUUGAAAGUUAAGAAAAAAAAGUGAAAAAAUAAAAUUUGACAUUUUUAUUUUUAUUUUUUAUGAAGGUGCCCAUAAGGCAUAAGCCUUGUAAAAUAUAAAUAUAUAAAUAUCAACUUGUCAUUAGAUAAAAGUCUAUUCUUUGCGAGGGAAAAAAAAAAAUUGGGGAAUUUGUUUUGGAAUCUUUUUAGUUACUCCAAACAGAGUAUGUGAUAUAAUUGUGAUAAAUCAAAUUUAAGUUAAAAUUAACCCCGAAUCAUGUCGUAGAAUAAAGUUAUAAUUAAUUAUUAAAUUAAUCACACCACAUAGUUAGGAACAAACGUAUCCUCCUCUUUUGAUAGAAAACUUUUUCAGAAUUAAAGGAAGAAUCAGAUUCGUUAUAUAUACUAAUAUUAUAGAUACCAUGCGAAGCAGCGAUUUAUUAAAAACAAUCAAUAUGUUUUUUAAAUUAAUCUGUCUAUGAGAAAAGGUCAAGGGAGAGACUUUGAUUUUCGUUUCAACAAUUAUGAUGAUAUGAGUUGCACAUGUGAAUUAAAAUUAAUUGGCCAACAAGUUGGUCAUCGUUAUUUCAAUAUAAUGGACUCCUCUGAUUUGCUAAAUACUAUUUAAUUGAGAGUUUAACACUACAAGAAAUGACAGUAUUGGUGGCAAAAUUAAUGUGGCGAUAAAUUUUGUCGCCACUAUAUAGUUACUUACUGUGGCAAUAAAAAAAAUUGCCACUGAUUAGUUAACUAAAAAUGGCAAUGCUACUUUCGCCAUUGAAUGAUUAUUUUAUCGCCACUAUUUGGUUAUCUAUGGUGGCGAUAAAACAAACGGCCACCGAUUAAUUAACUUAAAGUGGUGACACUAGUUUCGCCACUAAAUAAUCAUUUUGUCGCCACUAAAUCGUUAUUUAUGAUGGCGAUAAAAAAUAUUGCCACUGAUUAAUUAACUUAAAAUGGCAAUAUUACUUUCACCACUAAAUGAUUAUUUUAUCGCCAUUAUUUGGUUAUCUGUAGUGGUGAUAAAAAAUUUUUGCCACCAAUUAAUUAACUUUAAGUGGCGAUAAAAAAAUUUUGCCACCAAUUAAUUAACUUUAAGUGGCAAUACUACUUUUGCCACUAAAUGACUAACUUUUUGCCACUAUUUGGUUAGCUAUAGUGAUGAUAAAAAAAAUUGAUGCAUAUUAUUAAUAAAAUUACAAUAAAAAUAAAAUAUUUAAAAUAUUUAUAUUAAAAUAAUGUAUAGUGAAGAUGAAAAAACUGUAGUUGUUAAAAAUUGAGGGUGAAAAUGUACAGGGACACCUUCAACAUCAGAUCAUUUUGAAAUUGCUCUAUGAAUUUUAAUUUUAUUUUGAUUAACACCUCUGAACUUAUUUUGAUUAUUUUAUUCUAGUUAAUUUAGUUAAAUUUUUAAAUUCAAGAGCUUUAUUAAUUAGUGUUUACCGCUUCUCCCGCGUCCGCGAUCGCCCCUCCCAUGACCGCAAUCGGUAAAACCUAACCCCCUACCUCCCCCAAACCUCUCACCCCGAACCCUAAUUCGAUCCCUCUUCUUCUUCUUCUUCUUCUUGUUCUUCGAUCCAGGGACGACGGGGACUUCCACAAGGCGUUCAAGCUCUACACGCGGCUGUGGAAGGCGCGGCGCUCACCGAGGCCGGGAUGCGGCGGUGGGAGGUGGGCGAGAUCGCGUAGCGCAUCGCCCAGCUCUACUACGGCCAGUACUGCCGCACCAGCGACUCCUCCUACCUCGCCGAGGCCUUCGUCUNGUAAGCUCCUUCUUUGCUUCCAACCGGGUGGGAGAGUGAGAGAGAUGGAGAGUUGCAGCUAGAAGACCUCUCUCUCUCUCUCUACACGAAGUUAAAUAGAGAGGAGUGAGGGGUGAUACAAACGAGGGAGAGAAAAGACCAAAACACCCUCUCACCUACCCUGGUGUACCGGUACACGGGACUGUGUACCAGUACAGGAAGCCAACCCGAGAGCAGUACGCGCUCAGCCAGUAAAGCGUACCGGUACACCUCGCUGGCUGUACCGGUACAGCAAGCAGGAAAAUCUGCUGUUUUGCAGAUUUCUUCGCUGAAGGCUGCUAUCGCGUCCCACGGAGUCCGUUUUGCGUCUAUUCGACGCCAACGCGACUCGGACUUGUCCCGACACUCUCCAGAGCUGCCGACAAGCCUCCACAACUGAACACCAGGGAUCUCACACAUACUCUCUCUCUCUCUCUCUCUCUCCCUCUCUCUCUCUCUUAUCCCCUUCUUCUAUUUCUCUCUCUCUCUCUCAUCGAAAACCUUUUCAUGCAGGUUGAGCCGGCCUUCCGCGGCGACACCGGUGGCGGCUUAGGCGGCAACGGCAGCGGUGGCUUAGGCGGCGACGACAGCGGCGGUGGCGGGUAAGGCGGCAACGGCAGCGGCGGCUUAGGCGGCGACGGCAACGGUGGCUUAGGCGGCGACGGCAGCGGCGGUGGCGGCUUAGACGACGGCGAUGGUGGCGGCUUAGGCGACGACGAUGGUGGCGGCGCGGCGACUGUGACACCUUAAUAAUCCCACAUCGGAUGGGAAUGGGGUUGUCAUUGGGUUUAUAAGAGACUUAGACACUAGUAAUAAUAACUGGGCUUAAGCAUUUUGGGCUGUUGGUUUGGGCCCAACGAGUUAUUGUUGCUAGUGGGCUGGGUCGUUACANNNNNNNNNNNNNNNNNNNNNNNNNCGCGGAUCAAGUAAUCACUGUAAGGGUAUGAUUAUGCUUUAUCAAAAAAUCAAAAAUCUUUGCUCCCCAUAGCAACAAGUUAUCACCGGCAUUUCUUUGACCAUCUCAGCGGACUAGUUAUUGAUAGUUAAAUCGAUAUACUUCUCAAGAUAUUCGAUUUCAAUUUCAAGUAUUAUAAGUUGCAAUAUUAUACGUAAAAAUUAUAAAAAAAAAUCUAAAAACUUAUUAUCCAUGCAAUUUUUAGCCAAAAAAAUUCUUAAAAAACAGAAAGAAGGGGCAAGAAAAAAAAAAGAAGAGAGAAAAGGUAAUACAGUGGUUAGGAUUUCGAGAUGGUCUUGUUUUCGAAAUUCGCAAGAGGCUGCGGACAAUGUAUCAGGACUCCAGAGAAGGGCCUCGCGGGGCUGCACGGCUGUUGGUAUGACCCAGGACGUCGAAGGAGACGGCGAACGACAUGCUCGAGACAUCCUUCUUCUCUCUCUCUUAUUCUCGUUUUUGUUUUUUUUUUUAUUUUUAUUUUUCUCACUUUUGUGAUAGGUGUUAGUUGUUUUCCGACAAAUGAGAAGACGGAUGGUGGAUUGCCAGGAUGGCGUGGAGAAUGAGGAUAAUUUGAUGCUUCUACUCCCGAGUGCUUUGCUGGCUUCGGAAAAAAAUAAUUUGAUGAAAAUAAUAAUUUUAAUUUAGAAUAAAUAAUUUAUUAUUAAAGUGUAAUGCGUUUGAUAAGUAGGCUUAAAUUAAAUAAUAAAUUUCUGAAAUAAUUUUUAAAAAAUUGCUUGACAAUUUUUUUUAGAGUUAAUAAUUAAUUUUUUUUAAAAUUUUUAAAUAAUUUAUAAAAUUUAAAUUAAAUUUAAAAGUGGUUAAAAUUUUUUAAUUCAAAUUGUACAAAAUUUAAAUUGAUUUUUAAUUAAAAAUAAUUUAAAGAUUUUAAAAUUUAAAAUAUAUGAAAUUUUAAAAUUUAAAAAUAUAAUUAUAAAUUUUAAAAAUAUAUAUAAUUAUGAAUUUUAAUAUAAAAAUUUUAUAUAAAAAAUAUAAUUAAAUUAAUUUAACUUUAAAUUUAGAUUUAAUUUUAAAAUUGAAUCUAAAUUUAAAUUUAAAUUUUAAUGUUAAAUUAAAUAAUUAUGAAAUAUAAAAUAUAAAAUAUUAUAUUUUAAUAUAUUUAAAAUUUUAAAUUAAAUUUAAAUUAAAUUUAAAUUUAAAUUUAAAUUUAAAUAAUUUGAAGUUAAAUUUAAUUUUAAAUUUAUAAUAUUUAAAAAUUUAAAUUUAAAAUUUGAAUAUUUAAAUUUAUUUAAAUUUGAUAUUUAAAUUUAAAAUUUUAAAAAGUUGAAUAUAAAAAUUUAAAAUUUUAAAUAUUUAAAUUUAAUAAUUUAAAAUUUGAUAUUAAAAUUAUAAAUUUUAAAUUUUAAAAUUGUAAUUGUUAAAUUUGAGAUAAAGUUAUAUUAUUAAAAUUUGAUAUUUUACUUUAAAUUUGAAUUUUUGGAAAAUUUUUAUUCUUUGAGUUGUAAAAAAAAUUUUUAUAAUUUGCAAAUUUAAAAUUUAAAUUUUAAAUUUGAAAUAUUCUUAAAAAUCAAAUUUAGAUUUUAAUUAAAUUUAAAUUUAAAUUAAAUUUGAUCUAUUUUUUCAUACAUUUAAAAUUUAAAGUUUAAUUAAAAUUCAAAAGAUGAAUUGAAAAUGGUAAAAAAUUAAAUAUUAAAAUUAAAUUUAAUAUUGAAAUUAAAUAAAAUAAUUUUGAAAUUUUCAUCCAAAAUCAGAAUCAGAUUUUCAAGACAGCCCAAUUUUUUUCUGCUUUUGAUUCGUGGCCUUCAAAUUCAAUUUUCGUUCUAAAAAAUAGAUCGAUUUAAAAGUGAGUGUUACCAAAACGCUUUCUAUUGGCCGAACUUACCUUUUCAGCAAUUCAAAGCGCUUUUAAAGUUUAGGCCAAACACGCCCUAGACGGGGAAAUAGUAGAUUCCAUAUUUUAUUUUGGUUUAUGAUUACCAUGUGCACAACAUAUAUAAAUUAUUAAAUAUAUUUCUUUAAAGUUGGUAUUUUUUUAGUAUUCUACAAAAGUCUAAUAUAUUCAGAUAUAAGUUCCUGCCUAUUGAUCCGUUAAAAAGUUUAGUUAAUCACAUUUAAACUAUUUAUCUCUGGGUUAUUUUGACUUGGUGUUACCUUUUUAUGAUACGGUUAGAUUUAUGAAGCGCAUAUUUUAAUGGCAAAUUUGAAUAUAAAUAUUUUUCUAAUGGUUCUUAACGUAUAUUUAGAGACAUUGAAAAAAUUACGACUUUGUAGAGAUAAUUUUGAAGUUGAUUUUACAGAAUUAUAUUUGACAAUUUAUAUAUUUGGCCGGGUACCUGUAUGCAUUAAUCCUUUAUUUGUAUUUUAUUUUGGAGAGAGAUUAGAGGAAGAAUGUACAAUUUAUCGCAUUUUAUCUUUUUUAUAAUAUAAUUUAUUAAAAUAUACAUCAUGUACUAAUCACGAGUUUAUUUGGAUUACGCUAGAAAUAUUGUAUUUGUAAAUAUUAAUUUGUGCUUAAUUUUAGGGUUACUUUAUAAUAAAUAUCAAAUUUUAAUUUUUAGUAUUAUUUAUUUUACAAAAUGAUUAUUAAUUUUCCUUUGUAUUUAUUGAGCUGUUUUAUUUUUUUAUAAAGAUAGUUAAAUGACAUUAUUAUCAUUCACAUUAUGUACAUUCAAAAGCCCUAAUUAUUAUUAAUUAUCGAGAAAUGUUCUCCAAAAAGUUCAUUUUAAUUUUAUUUUUAUCUAACAUUACAAUAUAUAUGAAUGAUAAGAAGAUCAAUUUUCUAUAUACAACAAUGUUAAGUUUCUUACAUAGUUAAUUAUUUUUCUACAGAUUCUUCAAAGUAGAGUUAUUUUGUAACAUAUAUCUAGAACGUUUGCAGAAAUAAAUAUAAAAAUAAAUACUGUAGAGAUAUAUGUGUCUAUUCGUAUUAUUACAAAAAGUUGUAUGAUUUACCUAAUUUUAAAUUUGAAAUUUUUUAGAUUAUUCUCUAAUGAGAUUUAUUUAUGAUUUAGGUUUAUUGAGUGUGAGAUGUUGUUUAAUCUGUAAUAAAUAUCAGGAGUAAUAUUAAAAUAUAUAUUUUGUAGUAUCAUAAUUUAUAUUUAAAGAGUUAUUAUAUCUACUCGAGUAAAUUAAAACUUAAGAUUGAUUAGCAAUUAUCUAAAUAUCCAAAAUUUGAUAUUAAUUUUAUAUCAUAUUGGACUUGGUACAAUUGAGAACAAAAUUACUUUGAGACUUAAUAGGAGGUGAAGGAGAAAAAUAAAUAAAAUGCUAAUAAAACUAUUUUUGUAUGAGUUGUAUUUGCCCAAAUCAAUCCAUUUCGUACUUUUAUUGUAUGAUGCGAGUUUCUUAAAUCAAAUAGAACUGGUUUAAAAAAAAAAAAAAUCUUUUCCUCUAUUAACUUUUGAAAUGAGGAAAUGAUUCGGUACUUUAUAAAAUAAAAAUAAAAAUUUACGUUGAUUAUUGAGGUAAAAUAUAUUUUAAUAUUUAGCAGGUAAAAAUAAUUAUUUAUCAGCGUUAGUUUUGGUAUUAACAUAAACAUUUAAAGAAAUUUUUAUUGUCCUAAAUUUAAUCAUUAAUUUGCCUAUAUUUAGAAAUUAAUUGAUUGACUAAUUUAUGCGUAUUAUUAGGCAUUAUUAGGCAUUACCUUAAAUGUUUUAUUGUUUUCUAAAUUAUUGCAUUAAUUAUUAUAGGAAUUGUUAGAAUAGUUCUAGUAUAAUAGAGUAUGACUUAAAUUUUAAUAUUAAAGUUUAAAAUUUAAAGUGAAUUUACAUUAGGAAUUUGUAUUUAUAUUUAAACAAAUAUGUAUUUGGUAAAUAUUUAUUCAAGAUAUUUAAUAUCGUUUAAAAAUUUUAAAUCUAUAGUAGACAAUUAAUUUUGUAAACUUAUUUAAAUUUUGAGUAGGUAAAAGUUUACAUUUAAUGUAUUUAAUAUGUUAAAAAAUUGAUGUUUCUUGACAUUAUAUUUUGUAUGACUAUUUAAAAUUUGUAAUGUUGGUAAAUAUGUUAAAUUUAACAUAUUUAUAGUUUAGCAAAUUAUGAUUUUUAGUCAUUAUUUUGUAUUAUAUUUUAAAAAUAAAUGUGUGAAAUAUUUAAAUUACAUAUUUAAUGUUUAAAAAAAUUUAUAAUUUUUCUAUUUAGAUGUAUUUUACCUUGUUUAAAAAUUUAAUGUAGAUAAUUGAUUAGAUAUAUAUGGGGUAAGGUAUAGUUCAAAUUUAUUUUUAUAAUAGAUUAUUAGACAAAUUAAUUAAAUUUUAUAGUAAAAUCAUUUUUUAAAAUUAAUAAGAUCAUUAUGUAAUUUAAAAUAUAGCCAAAAACUAAAUAAUUAAAGUUAGACCUUAAAACGCUAUAGGAACUUCAUGAUCUAAUAUAGUGCAAUUAAACAUUAUCAAUAAAUAAAUUAAACUGUUAAUUUUAAUUUUAGUUAUAUAAUUUAACCAUAGAGUUUUACUAGAAGUAAACAAAAUUUAUAUUUAAAACAUCUAGAUAUUUGAUAUAUUUUUCAAUUUGAUCAGUCUAAUUAUUUGAUUUAUUAUAAUGAAUUUUGAUCUACAUUUAAAAUUUUUCAAGUUUUUAGUUCAUUUUUUAAAUUUUGUUAUUUUAUCUUUCGGUUUAUAAUUGUUAUUAACUUUUAUUAUUCAUUUAUAUUAUUAAUAUCAAUGAUUAAAAGUGAUAAACGAUUGAUUUAACUAUUAAGAUUUUUCCUUAACUUCAAGAAUCUGAUUUCAACAAUAUGACCGAUAAGAUUAGACAAUUCUGGAACUGGUAAGAUAAGAACAUUUUAUGAAUGACAAUUAACUAUUAGGGUGUGUUUGGUCGCUGCUUCUUAUUAAAGAUUCCAGUAAUCAAUGAAUAAAAAAAUUGCGGGUUUGGCAAACGCACUAGACGUUAUUAGUUCGUAUAUUGAUUCUGGGAAUAAGAUUAACCCCAAAUAGUAAUUAUUCCUUGAGGAAGGGUGUAUCUCCAUAUUAUGAAUUGGAGGGUAAUUAAUAUGUCUAUAUUUUUUUCUAUCCGCGCUAUUGAUAAUUAUUUUUUCGUGUACACUUAACUUAUAUUCUCUCUAAAUUAUUGUCUUUCAAAUUUAAUUUUUUUUCUCUCCUUAAUAAGCUUUCUCUCAUCUCUCUCUCUCUCUCUUUCUAAAAUUUCAACUCUCUCACUCUCUCUAAUUUCGACUAUAUUUUUCUUUCUAUUUUUUUAAUUAUGCUCUCUCUCUCUAACUUAUACUCUCUCUUCCUUUUUUCUAAAAAGAUGUUGAAACUUUUGGUAACAUUAUCUAAAAUUAAUUAAAUAAAUAAAUAAAUUAAUUGUAUAAUUUUUGUAAUAUUAAAUAACAUGGCUAAUUAAUAUUACUGUGUGAACCAAACACAGGAAUUCCACAUUCUUAGUAAUAGGAUGAAUAGUAAUAAGAUUCUCGGAUAUCUUUUAUUCCUAGUAAUCUUUUAUAAUGCGAACCAAACGCACCCUUAGAGCUAAUAAAUAUUUUAAACAUAAAAAUUAAAAAGAUUAGGAUUACUGGUGAGAAAAAAAAAUGGUUAGGAAUUUGAAUUCGAAUCCGACUAACAAUCGCAAAACUUAUUUCCGAACUUGACGGAUUUCAAAAAUUCAUAUCCAAAUUCAAAUUUUUAACCACACGUGCUAAGAACGAUCAAUAUGAUUGUAGGAUUGUUAAUCUAAAAUUUAGUUCAUAUGCAUGUUUGAUUAAUUAUUCAAUGAAUAUGCUCUUUGACUAGUUCAAUUCACUAGCAAGGUUAAUGUAAAGAAAAACUAGAUCAUAUUGUUUUCUUUUAAAGAAGUUAUUUUUAGUAUUUUAAUUGUUAAUUUAGUAUAACUCCUUUUUUUUUAUUUUCUCUUUUUUUUUUUUUGAUGAAAAGAUUGAUUUUUUUGAUUUAUUAUUACAUGCGUUGAACUACUAAAGUUCAACUACUAGAUUAAUUCGUCCAUAGUGGAAGGCUAAAUUACAAUUUAGUCUAUCGGUUAGCAUCAAUUGUUUUUUAGAGAUAAAUAGCAUACUACUCAUUUCGUUUAUUACAUUUAAAAAUAAAUUUAGCUGAAAAUAUGAAUGGAUUGGAAUUCGAACUUGAAAAAUCGGGUACCAACGAUCAAGUCCUUUGCCACUUGUGCUAGGCACGUUUGAUUCGUUAGCAUCAAUUGUUAUUCAUAGGUUUUCAUCACUUUCUCUUUUAUUUGUUUAUUUUUUAUUUUUAAAGAGAAAGAUUAUACUGUCAAAUAAUUUGAAAAUUUUCUUAUAUAAAUGCCCAAUUAUGAAAGGAAAGAUAGAAAGAGAAAAAGAAAACAAAGAGAAAACAAAAAUUUUGAAAAUAUAGUAAUAGUAAAAUGACUAAAUUACCCAUGUAUUAAAAGACAAAAAUAUUCUUUUUUGGGGUACCUGGUAACCGGUACCUCUCCCAAAGUGACCUGCUAUUGCAGGUCACAAUUUUAAAAAAACUAAAUCUUAGCCGUUGAAUACGCGUGAAUGAACGGUAACGAAAAAAAAAAAAGUAUAGAAGCAUUACUCUAAAAUUAAUCGUUAACAGCAGCGAAGCGCGGGUUCUAUACUAGUACUAUUUAAUUGAGAGUUUAAUUAAUUCCCUCCUAUGGCCGUACAUCUUGUAUGUAAUGAAUGCGUCGAAUAAAGAGACUAAUUAGAACUCACAGUCCGAUUAGAUUCUUAAUUAAACUCUAUUUAUGCUUUAAUAAAACUAAAUCUCAUCUUAUCCUAAUUAAAGUAGAAUUUGACUUUAAUUUUAAAUAAAUUGGACUUUAAUUUAAAUAACUAUAAAUUUAAACUGAAAUCUAACAAUAGAUUUUCUCACUAAUCUGUUAAACAACUAUACUUGUGAAACUACCUCUUCUAUUUACGAUUUAUUCUUAUAUUGUUAUAUCAAGUCCUAUUUAUUUAGGAUUAACUCAACCUAGUUAAGANCUUUCGGUGGCAAAAUUGGAUGAAGAUAUGUUUCCUUACCUGCAAGCUCUGCCCGCGUUGAUGAUUCUUAUCCUUUGUCGCGCAUAUGAUGGCAUGAAGUUGCACUUCCAAGCAACAUCAUUCCCGAAGCUAAAGGAAUUGUUAAUAUCGUAUGCCCCGAAGCUCAGUCAGGUGGAAAUAGAAAGAGGAGCAAUGGCAAGCCUGAAUACGCUUUACCUAGGCGGUUGCCCCGAGCUGAAGGAGCUGCCCUCUAGCAUCGAGUACCUUACCACCCUUCAGGAUUUAUGCAUUAGUCUCCCGGCAGAGGAACUUGUUGAGAGGCUUCUAGGAGGAGGAGGAGGAGAAGGCGACCACAGCAAUGACUGCCGCACGUGGGUUCGCCAAAUCCCGAAGUUUACUAUUGGUUUCACACGAGACGGCAAGUUUGUCCAAGAAAGAAUUCAAUGAGUUUGUGCGCGUUUUGCAAAGCACCGGCCGCCGAGCUUGAUGCUUCCACAUUUUCCGCCUCAGAUCUUCUAUAUAAUCCGUGCAGGCUUGAGGAAAAUUCAAAAUGAUGCAUGAUCGAUAUGCAGGUGUUAUCUUAUAUGUAUCUUUUAUUUUAGGGAAAACUUCAAAAACCCCCCUGUGGUUUCGUGCUUUCUCAUUUUAGUACCCUGUGGUUUAAAACGUAUCAAUUUGCCCCCCUGUGGUUUCAUUUUUAUCUUUUCCGAAGCUUUUUCGUUAACAUUUCGUUAAAUUAUAUAUAAAAAACUUCAGAUAACUAUCUAUAUUUAUCGAAUAUUCACUUUAGUAUCCUUUAAUUUUAACUUUGUCACUGAUUUAAGAAAAAAAUAAUAAUAAAUUUGAUAACAAAAAGAGAAAAACGAAACCACAGGGGGGCAAAUUGAUACGUUUUAAACCACAGGGUACUAAAAUGAGAAAGCACGAAACCACAGGGGGGUUUUUGAAGUUUUCCCUAAAAUAAAAGAUACAUAUAAGAUAACACCUGCAUAUCGAUCAUGCAUCAUUUUGAAUUUUCCUCAAGCCUGCACGGAUUAUAUAGAAGAUCUGAGGCGGAAAAUGUGGAAGCAUCAAGCUCGGCGGCCGGUGCUUUGCAAAACGCGCACAAACUCAUUGAAUUCUUUCUUGGACAAACUUGCCGUCUCGUGUGAAACCAAUAGUAAACUUCGGGAUUUGGCGAACCCACGUGCGGCAGUCAUUGCUGUGGUCGCCUUCUCCUCCUCCUCCUCCUAGAAGCCUCUCAACAAGUUCCUCUGCCGGGAGACUAAUGCAUAAAUCCUGAAGGGUGGUAAGGUACUCGAUGCUAGAGGGCAGCUCCUUCAGCUCGGGGCAACCGCCUAGGUAAAGCGUAUUCAGGCUUGCCAUUGCUCCCCUUUCUAUUUCCACCUGACUGAGCUUCGGGGCAUACGAUAUUAACAAUUCCUUUAGCUUCGGGAAUGAUGUUGCUUGGAAAUGCAACUUCAUGCCAUCAUAUGCGCGACAAAGGAUAAGAAUCAUCAACGCGGGCAGAGCUUGCAGGUAAGGAAACAUAUCUUCAUCCAAUUUUGCCACCGAAAGUGUUAAUUUGGUUAGGUUUGCUAGAGACCCAAAGGACGCGGCAAGCUUAGGGAGUGAGUUUUUGUCUAAUUUACCCUUCAGAUCUAAUUGUUGAAUUGGCAGAGGUAGGUGCAGGGUGCCCAACUGCUGUAAUUCUUUCCCAUCUUCACUUUCGACAGAUAAAUUGCUAAGAUGGUUCAUCUUUGUGAUACUAUUCCACAAGUCUGCACAGUGAUCGGUUCUUACGCCGAUUAUCUUAAAUGUCCGCAACUCGGUCAAAGCUUCUACUUUCUGCACAAUAUCUGCAGUUGCUUCAAUAUUUGCCAAAGUCUGCAAGCCCUUCAAGGGCCAUAUUCCCACCAGUCCCUUGAUGUUCUUACCCAAUUUGUUGGACAAAACUAGAUGUCUCAACUUUUGGAGCUCUGUUAUUUCCUUUGGCAGCUUUUCUAUUUCACUUUCACAUGUAUCUAAUAUUUGCAGAUUUUGUAGCUUCUCGAUUGAUCUUGGAAGCUCCUUAAUUUUUGUUGCUCGCAAGCCUAGAUAAUGCAAGUUGAAUAGGUUACAGAUCUCACUCGGUAGUUUAACGAUUAGCGCUCCUUGUAGUUCCAAGACGCGCAAAAGUUUUGAUGAUCUUAAGACCGACUUCAGUAAAUCAUAGCUCAUGGAAUUGUUGAAAACAAGUACUGAACGCAAAUGAGAUUUGUCUUCAGUACGAUAAUUAGUUAUAUUGCUUAGGAUUGACAAGCGGCGUGCUUCGGAACUCCGCAAUUUUUUCUUUGAAUGCUCGUAGACCAUGCAGAAACUUAACUCCUUUGACUCCGAAAGAGCAAGGACUCGAAUGACGUCAUGCAUUCGAUAUGCACAAACUAUUCCAACUUCAUUCCACUCAGCCACUUGUAGUAGACAGCGAUGAACAAGUUUGUUAAGGUAGUCCUCGGCCACUUCCUCCAUCGUUCUUUCUCUUUCUUCAAUGAACCCUUCAGCCACCCAAAGCCUUAUGAGCCUGUCACUUUCAAUUGUAUAGUCUUCCGGAAAGCUAGAACAAUAUAAGAAGCAAUUUCGAAGGUAAUGGGGAAGAUCGUCCAAGCUAAGUUUCAAAAUGUCAUAUACUUUUUCAUGGAGCUUCGAUUCGUUGUUAGUUAGAUACCACUCAAGAUCUUUGUAAACCUUCUCCCAUUCAGAACCGGUUUGUUCUCGAAAUGACAAGAGACGGGCUAUAGAUACAAUAGCAAGGGGCAAGCCACCGCAUUUCUCAAUGAUUUUUUGAGCACAUUGUUCUAAAUGUGGUGGGCAAAUCUUGUUUGCACUUCUCCAAAAUGCGCUUUUACAAAACAGAUCCCACGAAUGAUCUGCCUCCAGUGGCUUUAGCUCAAACAUAUGGUUCUCGUUUGCUAAUAGAGCUACAUCGCGAAUCCUUGUUGUGAGAACUAUUCUACUCUUGCAAUUACUAUUCAGAAGUGCAACUUUUAUAUUGUCCAGUACAUCAGUACUCCAAACAUCAUCCAGAAUGAGUACAUACUUUUUAUACUGCAAGUAAGUGCGGAUAGUCCCAACCAAGCUUCUGUAAUCCAUGGUAUCACUGUCGUUAGGUUCUUGUCUUUUCUCAGGAUCUUCCCUAUAAAACUCUUUUAAGAUCUUUCUAAGCAAAUCAUCAAUCUCAUAACUCUGAGAUACAGCAACCCAGGCACAAGCAUCAAAGGAAGCUUUGAUGAUAUUGUACACAUGAGUCGCAAGAGUGGUCUUCCCCAGACCACCCAUCCCCAACACUGAGAUUAUCACGUGUUGCCGUUGUUGCUCAUCCUCAUUUUUUAACCAUUCAAGCAACAAGUCCUUGUACUUGUCAAUACCCACGAUACCAUCCUUCUCGACAAAAUGUGCUAAUUCUGCACGGCUUUUACUACCACCAACAGCUAUUAGAGGCCUUGCUUCAUUUUCCAUUCCUCUCGUAUCAUAUCGCUUCCAUCUUUCCAUAAUGUUUUGGAGCUUAAUUUUGAUCUCUUUAAGCCUCUGGCUAAGGUGAUGCCAGGUUUUUAUAUUUCUGUACCUCUUGAUUGCUGUGGGUAGAACCCCUCCUUGCUCCUCGCUCAGCUUAUACGUGAACUCAUCUAUAAUAUCCUCAAUUUCGAAAGCCAAGUCUCUUGUUUGUUUUAUAAUGAUUUUUGUGCUCUCAUCCUUCUCUUUUAGUCUUUCUGCAAUCCGUAGGAAGGCUUGCAUGAUCUCAAGCUCAUCCUUAAUGUCACUUAUAUCCUUCAUGAGUUCUUUCAUUGCUAACAUCCCUGUUCGUAAUAGUGAUGCUGCUGAUUUUGUUGUUUUAAUAGCUAAAGCAGCACCUAUCUUUAGGACUAAUGAGCUUAUCACAGCCUCCGCCAUAGGAAUUCCUUACAAAGUGAGCCUGGAAUCAAUAAUCUUUCCAAACUACCAUGUCUCUUUAGAUUUGCCGCUAGCAAAAAUAAUUAUUGUUUAACAUUCUUAAGAUUCUAGACAUUUCUAUAGUGCAUUAAACAAACAUUUGUUAGAAUCAUCGGUUAAAAAGAAGAAACACCGGUAACAGUAUUGUAUGGAAGAACAAAAAGCAAUAACUUGUUUGAGAUUCAGUUUAACAAAGUUUUGUGAUGAAAGAUUCAUCAUAACUAGUCAUACUGAACCCGACCUCAAUGUAUAUUUGUAGAGCAAGUUGUGAAAAAGUCCUUUACGGGAGUAUGAAAUCAAUAAAGAGUUGGAAAGUAUAAAUCAAUCUGCUGCUAGCCAGUGAGUAGGUGGUAUCGUAUUAAGCGUGAUUGUAAAUUAUUUUACAACUAACAAUUAUAAAUGGAGUUUGUUUUGAACUUCUCUUCUUAUUCAUAAUUAAGCUAAUAUAUAUCAGGACUAAGUCAUUUGAGCAAGAAACUAUUAGUGCUUCUUCAAAUAGUUUUGUUUUGAUAGCAAUAUAAGAACUUAAUUCUAGACUCAUGAAACUUCCGUAUUUCUAAUAUGUUAAGUUUUAUUGCCUCGACAUUCAUACUGCUUAUUAUCGACCAGAAUCUAAAAGUUCUAUUUCAACUUCCGUGAUUUGUGUUGCAAUUUGUAAAAGUUCUACAUUACAAGUUUUGACAUUAACUGAUUUUUUUUUCAAAAUAAUUAUUAUCUUUGUGAGUUCAGCAGGAAUAUUUCUUAAAGUGAGAUGACUUUGAUACUUUUUGUUUUUUGGAUGAUGAGGCAUUUAAAUAAACGUCAUGUAUCAUUAAAUAUGAUCUAGAAUAUUUGCAUGGUUUAGGAACUGAAAUUUUUUUUUUUUGUCGUUAUCAUUUACCUAGUGAUUAAAUGGUCUCAAAAUUGACAAUUUAACAAGUAAAACAUGACACUUUCUUCUUGUUUAACUGCAAAGAACCAUCCGAAUUAGUUGAGCUUUUGAUAAUAAAUAAAAUCCUCUCAACCAUCUAGAUCAAGAUCUACAACUAAGACUCUGAAUUUAAUAUUUUUUUUAAUUAUAUUUUAAGAAGGUUACUAAUUUUGACCAUUCAUAUUGUGCCUACUUGGUGAGCCAGGAAAUGAAGUUUAAAAAAUCAUAAAAUUCUUUUUUUUGGAAAGUUUAUGUAUCCUUUAAUUUACCAUCUUGCAUGGUAUGAUUAUCGAUUUAAAUGCUCAAUCAUUAACAAUAAAGUGAAAGUAUAUAUAAGGCCAAAUUAUUCUACCUUAAUUAUUAUCUUUUGUUAUUUUGUUACCAAAGAUCAAGUGAAUCCAAACAAUAUACAUAUUAAUCAACAAAGACAUAUACUAUACUCUCUGUGAUUUGCUUCGUUUGGUUCGGGAAUAAGUAAAAAUUGUCUAUUUCAAGAAUAAGGUAUAAGCCUGAAAUAGACUAAUUUUGUAUUUGAAUGAAAAUUAAGUAAUUCCCGCGAAAAAAAAAAAAAACGUUUGGAUAGAUAAGAUGGAAUAAGAAGGAUAAUGGAUAAUUAUAAAUAGAAAAUAACAAUAUUACCUCUUAUAUCAUAAUUUAAAUUUUUAAAUUUUAUAUUUAAAAUUUUAAAUUUAAAUAUAUAACUUUAAAAAUUAAAAAUUUUAAAAUUAAAAUUAAAAUUUUAAAUCUCAAAUUUAAAAAUUUAAUAGUUCUAGAUAAAUAUCAAAUAUCAAAUUUUAAAUUAAAAAUUAAAAAUAAUAAUUUAAAUUUGAAUUUACAAUUAUAAAUAUUAAUUUUAGAUUAUAAAUUAUUAAUUUUAUAAAUUUAAAUUUGAAAUUGAAAAUUUAAAUUAUAAUUUAAAUUAUAAUUUAAAUUGGGAUAGAAUUAGUUAAUCCCACGCCAAUUCCGGGGGGUGGGGUUUGUUAACCCCACCCUCAAAAAGCUUGUUUGGGAUUAGGGGGUCGGGGGGGUUGGGGCGCGGCGUUCAAACCCCUUAUCCUCCCUCCUAACCCCGCAACCAAACACCACUUUAAUGAAUUAAGCCAGUUGAUAGCAAAGAGAAUAAAAAUUAUUUUAAAAAGAGUAUGGGAAGAAGAAGAAGAACAACUAACCACAGAUCCAGAAAGGAGAUUGAAGAGGGAGCUGCUCCAAAAUAAUUAAUUUCAAUUUCGACUAGAGAAAAUAGUGCAACCAAAGAAGCUCUUGAAGUAGAUGUUUUAGGGAUUGAGGAGUGGGAGACGAGGAUAAACAAGAAACUGAGAGCAAGUGAUACCCUUUUGCAAGAAACUGAGAGCAGCUGCCAAGAAAGUUCUUCCCUCUUGACUUUUCCCAUCAGUGCAGGUUGUAGUGUGCCAUGGAAUUAUUUGAUUAUUUAUCUUUUACUACUAUUCAAAAAUUUUAAAUUUAUUCUAAAAUUAUUUAAAUACCUAUCUAAAAUCUAAUCUCAAUUAUAAAUGGCCUUUUCGCAUAAAAAAUCUACUAGUCUUGAGAUUUUGUAAAAGUGAGUCACUAUUUUGAAUUUUACAAAUUCAGCUCGAAUUUUUAGAAAACUGGUCAGAAUAUUUUUAUCCCUUUUUCUAUCUUCCUUUUUUUUUUUUUUCUCGUUCUAUAUAUUUUUUUCUUCUUUCCGACCCUUAUCGUCUCUUCCGGUGCCUUCGCGACCCUCAGCGACGGUAAGGAGGGCGACGCCACCUCCUCUUCCUCUUCCUCCACUUCUACUUUCGCCUUCGCCAGCACAGACGGCGGCGCUGAAGGAGGAGGACUCGGACCGGGCAUGGAUAAUUUAUAAUUUAAAUAGAUAUAAAAUAGUACACCAGGUGCACGGAGUAUAUUCAUAGUUGGUAGCAUUGCUCGGUCCCCAUUCGGAGACACUCGGAUGGGUCAUACGAGUCCUAUUCAUAUUCAUAGUAGGUAGCAUUGCUCGGUCCCCACGUGGAGACGACUCGGAUGGAUCAUACGAUCCUCUCUGUGUCUUUUAUUAUGUUUUAUUUUAGGUACAAUUAUUUUUAUAUGCUUCAAAAUUUCUGAAAUAUUUUAAGAUUAAAAUUUAAUAAUUUUGUUGAUAAUUAAUAGAAAUUGUGUUCGGAACGUAAAACUAGUCAGUUUUCUGCAGAUAACCGCGCACUUAGUAGUGACUUUGGAAAUUCAUAAUUUUGUGCUCAAAACUCCAAUAAAACUUAGCUUAAAAUGUUCCGUCUCAAAAUGCAUUUUGUGUGUAGGACCUUCCGUUUCCAAAAAUUAUGAAAAACUAGUGUAGUGAUCGAUCCGCGCGUUACGGCGGAUAGAUACUGUUAAAGUAAAAAUUUAUAAAGAAUAAAAUAUCAGUUUAAUACAAAAAAAAUAGUAAAUAUAGUCUAUAUUAUAGACAAACACUUAAAAAAAAAUAAAACUAUAAUGAAAAAGAAUCAAUCGUUCCAACAAAAUUAUUCAAUCUUGUUUAAAAGGUCGCAUAUCAUGCAAAUGAAUAAUUAAAAUUAUUUUUAGAAUACAAUAAUCAAAUAAAAUGUCAUAUUACAGUUGAUAUGACUAAAAAAACUCACAGUAAUAUACAAGAUAAUUUACAAAUCUUUAAGCCUUAGUAAAUCUAAAGAAAAAAAGAAAAAGUAAAAAAAAAAAAAAGCCCCACUCCUCCUGAAAUUAAGGGGGUGGCUACAUGUAAAAUUUAGUCAUGAAGAUUAAUAUAUAAGUAUAAAAGUAUAGAUAUUACAUAAAAUGAUGACCUGAUUGCGAGUUUUUCGAAUUUCGUCGAUUUUAUCAAAGAAAUUUCAAAUCCACAAAAAAUGCACCAAGUGACUAUUAGACCUUACAAAUAAGUGCCCACGAGUAUUAGAAACCCUCAAAAGCUAAGGAAAAUAAAUUCACGGCUAUCUUUUAUUCAAAUAAAAAAGUAAAACCAAAUGGCGCUAUUAUUACGUAAUAGAGUAAUAAAAUAUGAACUAGGCUACUAUACUGUUAACGGUACCAAGUAAUUGGUGCUAUUAGGCUUUCUGCCAUUAGAUGUAGGGAUGUGGGGGUUAGAAUGGUAGUAGUUACUUAGGGUUGAGUAGAUGGUUGGUUGAAUGCAUGGUAUGAUCUGAUGGGUAAAAAUAAUAAAAAGGAAAUAGCUAAUGGCGCAAAAUUGGUAGCACCAAGUGAGGGGUAAACUUGUAAUUUAAAUAGCAUGUAAGAUACCCGCCAAUAAUACGAGAUACCCACCGCUCGCUCGGUAAUAUUUUCGGAGUUAUUCUACAUUAUUUAUAAUGCUACAUUGUCAAUUAGAUUACAGACUUAAUGAACCAAACAUAAUAAUUUUGACAGAAUUAUCUAUAAUUGUGAGAUCCCUGGUGUUCUGUUGUGGAGGCUUGUCGGCAGCUUUGGAGAGUGUCGGAACAAGUCCGAGUCGCGUUGGCGUCAAAUAGACGCAAAACGGACUCCAUGCGACGCGAGGGCAGCUUAUAGCGAAGAAUCUGCAAAACAGCAGAUUUCUCUGCUUGCUGUACCGAUACAACCAGCACGCUGUACCGGUACAACCAGCGCGCACCAGCUUAGCUGCUCUCGGGUUGGCUCUUGUACCGGUACAGGAGCCCGUUUACCGAUACAAGGGGAUAGAUAGAGGGCUAUUUUGGUAAUUCCCUCCCUCGUUUGUAUCACCCUUUCUCUCUCUCUCUAUUUAGGUUUGUGUAGAGCAGAGAGAAGGAGUUUUUUCUUCUUCUCCUCUCUCUCUCUCUAGCUGGGUUCUUACGCACAGUGGAGCUCAGGUGGACUUUGGUUUUGGUCGUCGACGUCGUACCGCGGAGCCGUUCGAGCACACUUUCGACGUCGUGUUGCUGCGAGGAGGUCGGGCGAGUGCGGCUUUUCGCCAUCCUUGACGUCGUGCUGAUUCUAGGUAAAUGUUUGAAGUUCUUUAUCUAUGGGCAUUCCUCCAAGUACUUCAAUUCCAUCAAUUUCGAGCUCGGGUGCUACUGCUGCAGAUUUCUGCGUCGACUGUCGGUAUUUUGGCUCGUACGCGACGUUGGAGCAUCGGAUCGCGACAAAACUUGGUUCGCUAGAUUCAGGACUUCGAGAGGAAUCCACGAAGCCCUUACUUGCUGGAUUUGGUGAAGGUUAGCUUGGUCGAACCACUAUUUUUCUCUGCUGCGGCGUAAUUGGACUGAAACGGUGACUUGUGUUGUGUAGAGCGUAGAGUUAGCUCGAUUCUAGACUCGGCGGAUUUCGGUUGAUCCAGCAGGUCGCUCUACACCUGAGAGAGUCCUUCGCUGCCAGGGAUUAGCUUUGAGGUGGGUUUACAUCGGUUUUACUCCUAAGUUCAUAAUCGUCGACAUGUAUAGAUAUCGAUUUUGGAUAAUCUAUUCUAGUUCGAAUUCAUAGAUUAUAUGGUAUAUUGCAAAUUUGAAUUUGGAGCAUGUGGUAAUAAUUGAGUAGGUUAUACAUGUUGGACUUGGAAUUGAAUUAGGAGAAAACCUGUGAUUUGGACCUGUCACUUGUUUAAACUGUCUGAUUUAGCUCUAGGAGCCGUUAUAAAAUUAUACUGUCGCAGUAUCCUCGAGACGAGUACUCCAGGUAGUUUAGAAUACAUUUACGCUCGUACUGGUACGCCGAGUGGAUUUUUACCGAGUCGUUUGGGCUGUUUCGGACUUUUGGGCGCCGUUGGGGUUGACGGUGGGCCCGGUUCGCCGUUUUGGCAUCAGAUUGUGCUGAGGGCACGUUACCUGUUGGUUGUUAGACCAGUUUGAGUCGGUUACUGGACUUUGACUUAUGAGAGCCUGAUUGAGCUCGACAGAGAUACGCUGCAUACUCGGUUGGGUAGCUCCCACGAGUGCCACUCCGGAGACGGGCUUUGUGCUUUCGUGUUGGUGUCGCUCAUGCCGGUUGGACUUGUUCUCCACGGACUUGUAGUGUGGAGGUAGCUGGAUAGUCACAACUGGGCAGGGACGGGUGUGUUUACAGUCCCAGGGACGGGUAUGCUUACAGUCCCGAUUGGAUUGGGUCAGAUUUGACAUUUCCUACAGUUGGUCAGUGUAGAGCAUGAUAGUGUAGUGAUUUGUAGCAGUUGAGUUUAUUUCCUGCAUUUUCUUACUAUCCUGGCUCCCCUUUGUAGACUUAGUGGGUGGACCGAUGUUGUUGAGGGCGGCACCCACUAAGGACUACCUGUUUUUACAGUAGUUCUCACGCCCAGUUGUUACUCCUGUUUUGCAGAGCCACAGGUUUCGGCUGCUGCGCCCUUCGCGGAUCAGGAUCAAGGCAAGGGCGUCGCGAGUUAGAGCCCUACCCGACGUGCUGAGCUAGAGGUGCCCCUAC